rnacentral:lncRNA from 1 species
UUAAUGGUUAUAAUAAUAAUAAUAAUAAUAAUAAUAAUGAGUGAGGCUACUCUGCUAUUGGAAGCACGGAGCCUUCCGUGCUUCCAGCUCGUUUUCGAUUUUGCGGCUUUCGAAUCGUCGAUCGGCUCCGUUAAACUUGAUUUAGAGUAUUUGAAGUACCUAAAAAAUAAAUUUUAUGAUUUUACGAUAUCAUUUGCCUAGUGAACGAAGGGGCUCAAAAUCAACGGCUGAAAAUAAAAAUCUUACAAAAUGUAAUAAUAUGAUAUUAAAAUUUUAAAUCAAAGAUAUUGAUCUUAUUUUAUAUAGUAUAAAGAAUUUUCUAUUAAAAUUUCACGUGAUUUGAAUAUUUCUACACCGUUAAACUUGCAAACAGCUCACUACGGCCAUUGAAAUUUAUUAAUUUUGAGCCCAUUCGAUCACUAGGCAAAUGAUAUCGAAAAAUAAUACAAUUUAUUUUCUAGGUACUGUAAAUACUCUAGAUCAAGUUUAACGGAGCCGAUCGACGAUUCGAAAAUCGCAACAUCGAAAAUGAGCUGAAAGCACGGAAGGCUCCGUGCUUCCGAUAGUAUAGUAGCCUCACUCUAAUAAUAAUAAUAAUAAUAAUAAUAAUAAUAAUAUAGUGGAUGGUGGAUAGUGGAUGGUGCAUGUAUGCAAAGUUGCAAACUCGGCCAUCGCCUCCGACAAGUACUGUGAGUUCACUCUGUGCGCUAACUUGUGGAUGUUGUUACUCAUGGCUUGUAUUAGCGCAACGAUUCCAUACCUUUGUUCUCCAACUUCACUGCUCAAAUCCAAUCGCAUGCAUGCGGUGGCUUGCACAUCACUGUGCCAAUCAAGUUCUAUACCCCAACUACGUGAAAUUCCAUUUCUCGUCGGCAAAGUCAUCAAGAACAGUAAAUCUCAUACAUUUGAAACUUGAGGCAGUGUUUGACUAGGGAAACAAAAGGUACAUCCAAAGAAAAUUUUGUUCUCAAUGCUGUCAUAGUUGUAAUGGAGUCAUGGAGAUGAUGAGCACUAGCUAAGAUAACAAUACAACUACGGAGAUAGCAAAAGUUUACCAUACUCUUUUGUCAAUUUAAAUUUGUUAUUUUUAGAAUAAAUUUGUAAUAGAGAUAUUUUCAGCAUUGAUGCAUGAAUGUCAUUAUGUGACAGCAAAUUAAGUUCCAUAAAUAAUUGAUAAUUGGGGUGGCUACUAUUAUGCGCUGGGUCAUUUGCUGUGUAGAGCUUGUCCUAAUUUCAUGCCCGCGGAGUAGUGAACGGUCGUUAGGUUGCCUGGGAGUGGCGUGUCUCCUGCAGCUACAACGCAGUUGCAUUUUUGGGACUUGUCGCGUGGCACCUCGUGGGGGAAUAUUCAAUUAUUCAUCCGAAGCCUGAACUGGAAUAUUCAAUCAUUCUUCAAGAACAGUAAACCUCAUUCUGUCAUCUUUGCUUAACAACUAGUAAUAUUAUAACAGCUAGUUAUUAGCCGAAGUGACCUCUAGCUGGUUUGGGCUUCAAUAGUUUCAUUCAUAUUACUGACCGUUCUUAACGCAAGUGACAAACGACUUGGUAGUUGGUACUUGAGGUUUCGAGUUCGAAUCCUAGUUGAUUCACAUUUUUAGCUAAGUUUAUUUUCUAAAUAAAAUAAACGAAGCAGCUAGCAUAUUAUUUGUCUCUAAAAAAUAAUAAUAAUAAUUUCAUUCACACGGGAAGCUCCAAUCAACACAAACAAUUAAUCUAACAAAUAAUCUUAUAUUCAUACCUAAGAUAAAUUUUUUUUAUAAAAAAAACAAAGAGAGAGACUUGAGGAUUAAGAUCAAUUUCUGCACAAAAAUCAAAAGCUAAACCAGCCCUACACACCUCACUCUCACUUUCUCUUUCCGUCACGCAAUUUUUGAAGGAAGCAUUGGCCACUUUAUAAAGAUCGACGGUUACGUUGGGAAAUCUUCCCGUGAAUACAGCGAGACAAAAUAGUAACACUUUUCACUUAAUCCGUAUUCACCGUUGGAUACUGUAAAUAUCAUAUCAUCUUCUUCAUAAAAGCAUAUUACUAUCCAUUUGAUUCAUCCUGUUCUCUCUUUAAUUAAUUAAUUAAUUAAUUAAUCUCCUCAUGGAAACGCCGUGCAUCCUAUAAAGCAAUGCUCUUUCACACUCUCACUCUCUCUCUCUUUCUCUUCUCGGAUAUUUUCCUGAGAUCGAAAUGGCGGGAGUCCUCCUAUCCCUCCCCUCCACUCCCCAAUUCCGACCCUUCCGCCCCCUCCACACCGCCACCCCCCGCCGACUUUGCCCCUUGCGCACCAGAAUCGUCGCCGACUUCCCCCCACCGUCUCUCCGGUACCGGAACCGGCCGCCGACAUCUGACGACAACAACCCAAUUCGCAGCUUCUACGAGAGAGAAAAGCCCCUUCCCCUCCAUCUCUGCCGCGCUGGAGCGGGUGUGAUCAACGAUGGAAACAACCCCACCAAAUUCCUCGGCAUCGAGGUUUCGACGCUGAAGAAGAUCGUCCCCCUGGGCGUCAUGUUCUUCUGCAUCCUGUUCAACUACACCAUUCUAAGGGACACCAAGGACGUGCUGGUCGUCACCGCAAAAGGGAGCAGCGCCGAGAUCAUCCCCUUCUUGAAGACGUGGGUGAACUUGCCCAUGGCGAUAGGGUUCAUGCUCCUAUACACCAAGCUCUCCAAUGUGUUGUCCAAGGAGGCCCUCUUCUACACUGUUAUCUUCCCCUUCAUCGCCUUUUUUGGGGCCUUUGCCUUCGUUUUGUACCCGCUUAGGGAUGUUAUCCACCCCACAGCGCUAGCCGAUAGGCUUUUGGCGAAGCUAGGCCCGAGCUUUCUCGGGCCCGUCGCGAUCCUGAGGAUCUGGAGCUUCUGCUUGUUCUACGUGAUGGCGGAGCUUUGGGGGAGUGUGGUGAUCUCGGUGCUCUUUUGGGGUUUUGCUAAUCAGGUGAUCUCUGCUUUCUUAAUUGUUUCCCAUAUAUAUUUUGAUUACCAUUUGCGCAUUUCUUCAAGUCAUUAAUGCCCUCUUAGUUUCUAGUUCCGGUGACCGAUCCGUUAGCUUAAUAAAGCUAGUUGGGUGAUUCUUGGUGUUAGAGAUCACAAGUAAGAAGGACUUCACCACCUUGCAACUCUUUUGAAUUGGUUGGAGCCCUUUAACACUCGAAAUUGAUCUAUUUUGGAAUUUGCUACUUGUACUGUAACCUAUGUAUCACGAACACUUCUUUUAAGUCUUGCAUGUCCGUGUCGGAUACGUGCGUGUCCGUGUCAGACUCGUGUCCGACAUGGACACGCCAUAGACACGUGUUCGAUGCGGAUCGAUAGCGCAUCUCAUUAAAAAAAUAUAUAUUUCUAAUUUUACUUUCUUUUAUGCAUAUAUAAUGUAACAUGAUUUCAUAUUUUGGCUUUUUGAUAAAUACAUACAAUUUUUUUCAGAUAAUAUAAAUAAAUUAUGUAUGGUGGAGAAAUUAUGUGUUUAUAAAUAAAUUAUGUAUGAACUAUCAAUGACAAUUUUAUUAAUUUUCAUUCAUAUGAGAAAUAUAACAAUUUUUAGCAAAAUUAGCACUUUAUAUAUAAUAAAUAUAUGCUAUUAUAUUAAUAAUACUAUAAUUUAUUAGCGGUGUCCAUGUCGUAUCUGUGUCCUAAAUUUUCGGAAGCUGUCGAGUCACCGUGUGCGUGCGAACAUGCCCAUGCGCAUGUGUAUCAUUCAUGGUUGGAGACAAUUUUCAUUUUGUAAUGACUAGUGAGUAUACUCUUAUUUUCUGAUGUGUAAUUUUUUUAUCAUAAUAUAUAAGCGUUAUAUAAUUAUCAUGUUUUAGUAUACUCUAAGAUAAUAUUCUGUGACAUGCAAGUUAAUCCAUAACGUCUGAUCUCCAGCUUUUUAGUUUUAUGUUAUUGUAAUGUAAAUAGUAGAUACCUACUUCCCUUUCCCGGCAAAUAUAUUAAGGUUAUCUGGUAUGUACAUUUGCUCUUUAUGAAAUAUUUAGUCUGUACUUAAUUAUUCAUGUCUUAGUACAAGUUUGCAAUCAACUAGCUCUGUUUGCAUGUGUGAUUUAAUGUCGAACAAAGCCUAAAGAGUAGUGCAGAUUCUGAGAUGAUCAUAACAUUACGAAAUACCAGGAGGAUACCCAUAGAAACUGGACAUAUGAUCCAAAAUCAACAAAUAAAUUAGAUCUACAUGAAUAAUGGCAUGAGGGGCAUCUUAAUUUUGCAGUUUUAGGUUGGUUUUCUAACAAAGAAAUACUAAAUUUUCUUACCCUCUUCAUUGGAUUCUAACGAGAGCUGAAAAUUAAUUCUGCAAUUUGUGCAGAUUACUACUGUUGAGGAAGCAAAAGAAUUCUAUCCUUUGUUUGGGCUUGGAGCUAAUGUGGCCCUAAUCUUCUCAGGUCGCACUGUAAAGUACUUUUCUAACUUGAGAAAGAAUUUGGGGCCCGGUGUUGAUGGUUGGGAGAUAUCACUGAAAGGAAUGAUGAGCAUUGUAGUGCUGUUGGGUCUUGUUAUUUCCGCAAUCUACUGGGCAGUUAACAAAUUUGUUUUGAAUGAUCCUUCUCUUCCAAGAACAGUACGCAGAAAGAAGGUUGGUACUUAAGAGAAUUCUCUUGCUAUUUUGUUUCCAUUACAUCCCUGUGGAAUUGACUUUCUGAGAUUGAUACCUCUACAGGACAAACCUAAACUAGGUAUGGGUGAGAGUCUGAAAUUUUUGAUAUCUUCUAGAUAUGUGAGGGAUCUUGCCACACUGGUGGUGGCCUACGGUAUAAGUAUUAAUCUUGUUGAAGUCACGUGGAAAUCGAAGCUCAAAGCACAGGUACCUUUUGUGUGUGUGUGUGUGUGUGUGUUUGUCUCUGCACCUGUGCUGAAAUGAAAACUUUUCCAGUUCUCUUUGAUCUUUUGGUAUCUGAUCAUACUUCAUAUCUGACAGUUCCCAAGCCCUAACGAAUAUUCUUCUUUCAUGGGUGAUUUUUCUACUGCUACUGGUAUAGCAACUUUCAUGAUGAUGUUGUUGGGCCGAGUUAUACUUAGAAAAUUCGGCUGGGGGGUUGCAGCCAUGAUCACUCCAACAGUUCUACUUAUCACUGGAGUUGGGUUUUUCUCACUAAUUUUAUUUGGCGAACCAUUGGUUCCUAUUCUAGCUAAGUUUGGCAUGACUCCUCUACUUGCGGCAGUUUAUGUGGGUGCAAUGCAGAAUAUUUUCAGUAAGAGCGCCAAAUAUAGUUUAUUUGACCCUUGCAAGGAGAUGGCUUACAUUCCUUUGGAUGAAGACAUGAAGGUAAGUCUCUAAUUAUGAAUUGUGAAUUAUAGUGAUAGAUGGCAUUUUGGAUGAAGACAUGAAGGUAAGUCUCUAAUUUAAUUAUGAAUUGUGAAUUAUAGUGAUGUAGAUGACAUCUCAGUCGGAAUUAAUUUUUCUGCAUGUUUUUUUUAUUAGACAUGUGGUUCAUAGUUUAAGAUGUUAAUAGUGAUAGUUCUGGUAAAUCCAUAAGGGAACUGAACUACUGAUUCAGUUUAGAGACUGCCAAAAUCGUUAAUUUUUUAAGCUGCCGUUACAUCUUUUUUAAAUUAAAUGCUUAUCACAGUGAAUGGGAAAAGGAGUAAAAAAUAUAGUAGCUGCUGAAGAGAACAUCGUGAAACUUGCUAAAAGAAUAGAGAGAAAAAGAAAAGUUACUAACUAGAAUGCCAAUAUUUCCAUUAUUUUUGUGUGUAUAUUCCUAGUGCACGUUUAUAUAUAUAUUCUCAUAUUUAUCUCAGUAAGAAUAUGUUUAUGACAAUAGGUUAAGGGGAAGGCCGCCAUUGAUGUUGUGUGCAACCCCUUGGGAAAAUCAGGAGGCGCAUUAAUACAACAAUUCAUGAUUUUGACAUUCGGGUCCCUUGCAAAUUCAACUCCUUACCUUGGAGGCAUACUUCUUGUGAUUGUUCUUUCAUGGUUGAGUGCCGCAAGGUCCUUAGAUAAACAAUUUUCUUCAUUAGCUAAGCAGGAGCUCAAGAAGGAGAGAAUGCUCAAAGAGAAAGUAGAAAAUGCAGUUUUGGGUGCAAAGGAGGAGUUAAAGGAGAAGGAAAAUGGUUCUCUGCAUGAAUCAUUAGCUAUUAGUGAGAAUUUAUCAAACGGGUUGUUACCAGCGAAGCAGGAGUCAGCUGAUGAAUCAGAGAAUUCAUCAGAAACCCCCACCCGCAAAGCUAAGUGAGUUAUUUUCAUAGGUAAUUUUGUGCAGGCAAGUUGAUAGGAAUCAUUAGAAUUUAUCUGUUCAGCUAUCUCGCUUUACUAUUUGAAAAUUACAUUACAGGAACAACUAUGCAGUUAUUUCAUUUGGCUUUAAUCUUAGAAAAUAGGUCUGGCCUGUUCUCCUAAAUAUUGUUUCUAAACUAUGUAGUCUAUAUUGUAUUUUUAGUUUCCAAUUUAGCUCAUGAAAGCAUAGAACUAGUCCGAUUCAUAGUUCUAAAUUCCGAUAGAAAAAAAAAAUACAUUGCUGUGCUAUUUUAUGUAAUCAUGUUAUAAAACCUUUAUGCUAAUUUUGAUCCAUUAGAAGUGUCUGGAAGUUGUGCAGGCAAAUGCUUUUUCUAGAGGAUUCUCAUCUUUCUAUUUUACUAUACUCCGCCUUAUAUUAUUUGUUUAAAUAAUUGGAUGAUGAGUUAAUGCCACAUGCUAAUGAAGCGCUAUCCAUGUCUUUUUGUUUCCUAGUAUCCUAGGCUGAUUCUCUCUCCAUUAUGCGAAACAGAACACUGCAGUAGAAAAUUAUUUUAGAUCGGGAAGACUCCUAGAAAUUUGACAAGUUUCAGUGCAAAUCAUGCGGCAGCAACUCUUGAUCAUGCGAGUCUUUUUUAAUUAGAGAUAGCGUACCAAGUUAAUUGCUUUAAUUUACUUAUAUCCGAUCUUCCUAUGGAAAAGAUUGUUACUUUUUCUUUGUUUGGAUUACAUAAUGUCAUCUCUUUUUUCUCCACUUUUUUCCCCCUUCUUUUGCUGCAUCAAUUUGGGUUUUUUGCUUCUACCCAAAAGACUUUAUUGGCUAUCUAAACUGUAGCCAGAAACAAUGUAAAUGAUGAUGAUGAUUAUUCUAGAGCAUGCUACUGAUAGUGUAAAAAUUAGUAAGUUCUUUAGCUAAGGAUGCUCUACUAAGGGCUAAUCUGGCCUUGAUAGCAAGAGAUUGGGCCAAGACUUUUCAUCUAGGCUUGGCCCCAUAAGUUAUUCAGACCAAGCUAAGCCCACAAAUAAAAUUCGGAGCUUCAAUGCUCGGUUUCUAUCUGGGAGUUUCCUUCUGAAUUUCUCUCAAAGUGCAGGAUAUCAGGACGAUCAGAUGUAGACUUCUUUAAGAAACUUUCAUAAAGUGAAAUCUAGUAAAUGCUGUUGAUAAUUAGAGUUCAGACGAGGAUAUUGUGAUCUGAAACAUUCUUUUUCCCAACUAGUAUGUUUCCCAACUAACAUGUUUAACAUGUUCUUUUUCCCAACUAAUAACGUCAUCUUCAGAAAUCUACCCAACGACGUUUUCCGAACAGCUAAUCUUAUUGGAGUGUUGGCAAAAGAGUGGGCCGAGUCCUGUUGAGCAGGGUGACGUCUGAAUUAUUAGAGUGUUUGCAAAAGAGUGGGUCGAGUCCUGUAGAGCAGGGUGAAAGCUAUUUCUUAUUUUUAUUUUUAGUUUCAUUUUUAUUUCUUUUUUUUUUUUUUUUUUUUUUUUUUUUUUUUUUUUUUUUUUUUUUUUUUUUUGCGCCCCCUUCCAUCUAUUUUUUCGCUUUUCUGAGGCCCUAGCUGCUUCACUUCAUGUAGCUAAUUUUAUUUUCUUAAUGAAUGAAGUAGGUAGCGUGCUACCUUUCUCUCAAAAAAAUAUGUUCUUGCAGUGUUGCAGUGGUAAAUUUACUUGUCAUUUUCAACACUAGCACGUCUUAUCUCUAGAUUUUGAUCAAAUGGAAACCGUGACGCUGUUCUUUCGUUAAAAAAUUUUAUUUUUUUCAAAAAUUCACAAACUAAUUUUCUCUACCACAGUAACAUCCAUGGGGUUGAUUUCUGGUGUUCCUUGGCAUCGCAUCCUUUAUAAAGUAUAAAACAUGCACGGGGACCGGUGAGCAUAUAUACCACCAUAAUAUAUUGGUCGUACAUGAGUAUCUUGUUUUUAUACUCUGACACACAAGGAAUAUACAUUUAUUGCGAUAUUUGGCUUUUCUUAUAUCACGGCGUAAGUUUACCCUUUUUCCUUUGUUUGAUCCUUGCGCCGGUCAAAUUUAUUUUACUUCUUUCUUUUUGUUUGAUAUUUGUACCGGUCAAAUUUUCGUUUUAAAAAAGCGAGGCAUAAAUUUCUGUUCCCAAAUAUUUAAGUACCAUCUACUUCUACAACAAACAUCAAAUAGAGAAUACUACUGCUGCAUUGUGUUAUAAAAAGAAGUGGUUAGUGCUUGGAUUAUCUCGCUGGACAGAGGAGAAUAACUCCAUCUUAAUUUCUUUAAUUUGUCUUCUAUUUGUAUAAAAUAAAAUGCUCUUCUUACGAAAGUCUUACAACACUUAGAAAUUAUAUAAUUUAAUUGUUAGAUUUUAAUUUUGAAAUUAUAUAUCAUGCUUUUCCUUUCAUGAUUUAUAUUUUUUUUAUUAAUUAAAUACUGGCGCUUAACAUGUUGUGAAAUUUGCUUUACUCAUGCAGUUUCAACUUUCAACUGGGUGUUUUGUUGGAUGCUUUUUUUUUUUUUUUUUUUGAACGANNNNNNNNNNNNNNNNNNNNNNNNNNNNNNNNNNNNNNNNNNNNNNNNNNNNNNNNNNNNNNNNNNNNNNNNNNNNNNNNNNNNNNNNNNNNNNNNNNNNNNNNNNNNNNNNNNNNNNNNNNNNNNNNNNNNNNNNNNNNNNNNNNNNNNNNNNNNNNNNNNNNNNNNNNNNNNNNNNNNNNNNNNNNNNNNNNNNNNNNNNNNNNNNNNNNNNNNNNNNNNNNNNNNNNNNNNNNNNNNNNNNNNNNNNNNNNNNNNNNNNNNNNNNNNNNNNNNNNNNNNNNNNNNNNNNNNNNNNNNNNNNNNNNNNNNNNNNNNNNNNNNNNNNNNNNNNNNNNNNNNNNNNNNNNNNNNNNNNNNNNNNNNNNNNNNNNNNNNNNNNNNNNNNNNNNNNNNNNNNNNNNNNNNNNNNNNNNNNNNNNNNNNNNNNNNNNNNNNNNNNNNNNNNNNNNNNNNNNNNNNNNNNNNNNNNNNNUUUUUUGUUGGUUUUUUUUUUUUUUUUUUUUUUUGGCACAGAAAUUUCUGUGGGUGAGACCAUAAUUAAGGCUGCGCCGACCAUUUGGGCCGACACACUCGCUCUCUUGUAUGGUUUUUGCUUUGUGGUAGAUGUUAUUUGCUUAUCUAUGGUAUUAGCAUUCCAAUUGAUGGUAACAAUUCCUACUCGAUCGUAAAGUAGUUCUAAACAUCUACGUACUCUGUAUCCUGGACCACUACAAUGCGAAGUUGUCUCACAGUCAUAGGAGCGGGUAUAAUACGUUAAAAAAACCACCAACUGCUCAUGGAGAGGCCAAUAAUUUUCUCAUCCGAGGCGCCAACAGCGUCGCCUUCACGUGAAUACUGAAUAGCCGCUACUGGUCGAAAAAGCUGAACCAAGCAAACAAGCGAGCACACACACCAUCGCACACGCAUACCUAGUUACUUAUUAAUGUUACCCUCUCUCUAUAUAACCAGUCCUUGCCCUACAUCUUUUCGCACACCACACGACAUUGACCCCCAUCGUUAAUUUCUAGUUUCUCCUCUUCCCCCUCACCCCCUCGCACAUGUGUGAGCGCCCUCUCUCAUCGCCCUCUUCCUCUUCCUCUUCUUUUCUCAAUCCGUGUAUACUCCUCGUGACCCAUUCUCUGUAGAUAUAUAUCCCUAUUUAUAUGUGUAUAUAUAUAUAUUUAUAGUGAACUCUCAUUUCUGUUGCCAAAGACCCAAGUAAUUAGCGAUGAGGUCGCCUUCUCCGAGCCCCAAGUCGGCCUCGGACUCGAACCCGAAAGAGACCAAACCACCCGUUUCGACCGAGCCAUGGCUCGACGACAUGGACCACUUGGCCAAGACCAUCUCGGCCAUCAAGCACAAGGGCGCGCGCCCCGACCUCCUCGCCAAGUGGUUCCCGGAGCUCUCCGCCUCCUCGGCGUCGGCAUCGUCGUCGUCGGGGCGCUUCCACGCGGCCUCGGCGGCGGCGGCGGCGGCGGCGGCGGCGGCGUGGGCUGCGCCGGAGAGCCCGACGGCGGCGUGGCUGAAGAAGCGGCUGCUGGUGGAGUCGCUGGUGGCGGCGCUCCCGCUCGACGGGGAGUGCGGCGCGGAGGCGUGCGAGAAGGGCGGGGCGGGGGUGACGUGCGACUUCCUGCUGCGGCUGCUGCGCGCGGGGAGCAUGGUCGGGGCGGACGCGGGGUGCCUGCGGGAGCUCGAGGCGCGCGCGGGGCGGCGCCUCCCCGAGGCCUCGCUCGGCGAGCUCAUGAUCCCGGCGUUCGGCCACACCUGCGGGACGCUGCUCGACGUCGCCAUGGCGCUGCGCCUCGUGCGCGCCUUCCUCGCCGGAGCGGCCGGGGACCAGGACGGAGGAGGGGCGGUGGCGCCGCCGAGGGGCGGGGGCGCUGCGGCGAUGGCGAGGGUGGCGAAGCUGGUGGACGCGUACCUGGCGGAGUCGGCGGUCGACGCGGGCCUCGCCGUCGCCGAGUUCGAGGAGCUCGCGCGCGCCGUCCCGACCCACGCGCGGCCCAGCGACGACGGGCUCUAUCGGGCCAUCGACACCUACAUCAAAGUAAGUGUAUAUAUAUAUAUAUGCUAUAUAUAUGCACAGGAUCUUCAUCUCCUCCUCCGCAGCAGCUGCAAGUAGUUGACAUCUCUACCUUUUAUGGUAACACGAACAAAAUUAACUGCUCUAAUUGAUAGCGUCCCAAAUGGAUGUUACAGCAGUACUGAGCACAAUCUAGCUACUACCAGAAGUUUUCUAUUCGUGAAUCACUACAAACUCUCAGAUCUUGAGGUACUAGGCCACUCAGAUUGAAUCCUGUUCAUAGCCUCUAGUGCGCAUGGAUGCAUGCUUUGGUGUCUAAUUUGCGCCCAGUUGCAAAGAACAUGUUUUCUGCUUCUUUUCUCAUCUUUAAGCUAUCUGCUUAAUUAUCCAAGAUUUUAGCAAGUUGACACUACAAGCAAGGACAAUUAUCUCCUGCUCCUCACCCAAAAUUGGUCGCUGCAAAAACAUAGUGGACAUAUCUUACGUACUGGACAACUCCGAGUUGGUCCCAAAGAGAGAGCUUUUGUCCUCACAAAAAAAAAAAAAAGAAAAAAAAACCCAACAAUCUUAUUAGUUGAUGGGACAAAAUUAAAAAAACUGUUAACCAUGUGAUAGCACAUAAGCACCAAAAACAGAGUUAUUAUAUAUGGUAAUUACAUCAUUACAUGCGAAAACACGUACCCUAUCUCCUGUCUCUAGUGGACCUAGAGUAGAUGGCAAUAUAUAUGUGUGUGUGUGUGUGUUUGUCGUUUUCAAUUGUUUUUGGCAUUCCUGUGAGUUAGGGAUGGAUACGUGAAACUUUUUCUAUUGAUAAUUAAAAGGAAAUAGUGACCAAUGUGUGAAAUUGUCCAAAGAUUUGUACGGAGAUGUUACAUUUUCCCUAACAAACUGCACCUACUGUUGUGUCACGCUCACUUCAAGUUAAAAAGGGGUUCUAAUGAUUCUCCUAAUUAAGCUUGAAUCCUUUUUCUUUUCUUUGCUAACAUGCUGUACAAUAAGGCUGAUAUCUACAUUUCGUAUGCAUCCCCACAUGGGCCUGUGUGUCUUGUCAAGUGCUAUAAACUUUGUGGGCCUUUUAAACGUACAUGGUAAAAUUAAGUUCAGAGGCAUCCUGUAGAUUUAGCCCAAUAGUGUGGGGACUGAGACCCUUUUAGUACCUAAGUUUAGCAGAACUCAUCUCAGGAUGAGUUGCUAUCACCCGAAGUACUUUUAGAUGAUUUUUUUUUUUNUUUUUUUUUUUUUUUUUUUUUUUGUUUUUGCACCACCACAUGCGUACAUAUAUGCUCAAAAGUUAAAUCUAUGCAGUUAAAAAUGAUUGUACUGCGAGUUUACGUACCCAGAAAAAGUUACGAUUUUUGUUUAUAUAUAUCCUUAGCAGUUGGCGCUCAUAUUUGUCUAUACAUUUUCUCAGUUACUGAAAUUUUCAUGCCAAAAGGUUAUUUUGCACUGUAGGCCCAAACUAGGCUAUUUCGAGAAAUUCUUUUUUUUUUUUUUUUUAUGUCCCCCACUGCGUGUAUGUAGAAUUAGAAAGCCUAUCCAUAUAAAUCUCACAGCAAUUAUGCGUGGGCGUGGUAAAAUUUUUCCAUAAACAAAUGUAUACUUUAUGUAUAUAUAUAUAUAUAGAGAGAGAGAGAGAGAGAGAAAAGCUACUAUACAAUCGAAAGUAUAGAAAAUUUGAUAUUUUUGAUUUUUUGAUUCUUAAAUAAAAAAUUAUACGGUUAAAAUAAUUGCGAUCUUUUCAGAAUUUAAUAGUACCCCUAGAGUUGAGUGGUUCCUACAAAAUAAUAGUAAUAAUAGUAUUAAUCCAAAUGUUAAAAAUAAUUUAAGGGACUGAUUUAAGAGCUAAAAAGUUAAAAGCAUUAGAUUAUAUAUACUUUCGAUACUCUAGCAACUCUCUCUUUCUCUCUCUCUAUAUAUAUAUAUACAUAGAUGUUAGAAUUAUUAUAUUUUUACGAGUAUAGAUCUUCUUGUAACUCUACUAGAAGUAGUAAUCGACCCGCAUGCAUGGACAUGUGCUCCCCCUAGGCCCAUCCGAGCACGACGAAGAAGGAGAAGAAAGCGCUAUGCAGGCUCAUCGACGCGCGCAAACUCUCCACGGACGCAUCCCUCCACGCGCUCCAGAACGAGCGCCUCCCGGUGCGGUCGGUGGUGCAGGUGCUCUUUUGCGAGCACACCAAGCUGAAUCGCCUGGCCGAGUGGAUGAGCGGGUCGUUUACGUUCGGCAGCGGCGGGCCGAGGAGCCCCAGCCCGGCCCAGGAGCUGCCAGGGCGGUGCCCAUCGAAGCGGGAGGUGUUGGCCCACCAGCAGGAGGUACGGCGCCUCAGGGAGGACGUCGUGCGGCUGCAGGUGCAGUUCGGGGUGCUGCAGGCGCAGCUGGAUAGGCUCACAGCGGAGAGGCGGCGGAGGGGCUUCUUCAGGUGGAGCUCCUUGCUCUUCAGCAGUGGCGGCAGAGCUGCGGCGGAUGUGGUGGUGAGGGCGGAGGAGUCGGAGAGCGGAGCGGAGCGGCGGACGCCCGCAAGCUACAAGAAAGGAAGGGGAGUACGUACGGCGGCGGUGGCGACGACGGCAGCGACGCCCAAGUGGCGGCGGUCGAUGUCUUGAAGUGGGAGUACGUACAAUGAAUUAUUAGCUUUCUGUUAGUUAAGUUUAUCUUCUGCUGUUUUUUUUUUUUUUUUCAUUUCCCUUUUUUCUGUGGGAGCGAGAUGUCUUUGACAGUUUGGUUUACAAGAGUCUUGCACUUUUUGUGUGUAAGUUGGUACAAUGUUGUUACUCUUGAUGUAUGUUUGGUCUCACUUCUAUUUAUGUCUUCAAUUGAGUGUUAGACAAACACAUUUAAGUCUUAUUGUUGAUAUUUUUUUUUUACGUUUUUUAAACACUUAUUCUAUAUAAAUUAAUGUGUCCACGGAAAAAUUUUUCUUUCGUUGUUGUAAUUUUUCCUUCGUUGUUGUAAUUGAUUAGCUUACAAUGCAUUUAGCUAAAUGAUAAUAAUAAUUUAUUUAAACAAAUUUUGGAAGUAAAGAAAAGUUGCUCUUAAAUUUUUAUUUCCUGUUGUCCCGUAAAGAUCUUGAAUGAAAGAAUUAUAAGUAAUUGAUCACCGUUCACUUUUAUACCUUUUGAUAUAUAAAACUUUAUUUUAAAAAAUAAAAAACAAACACAAUGCUAAACUAGGUAGUUUAAAACUUUUCUUUGCGGUGGGUAAUUUUAGGCUUAGUUUGGUAUUGAAGUCUAUUUAAUGUUAUUAGAUAGAAUGAAGUUGAAAAAAAGUAUAUAGCGAUAUAUUUCUGCGUUUUUCAAUGGAACCGCAGAAAAUAUAUCAUAACCGACUAACCGUAAUAUGCGGAACACAAUAUUACAUACUGAAACAAACGCAAACUCCCCGCAAUCCCAAACGAAGCCUUAGUGAGAUUCUGAUUUUCAGAAAGCAAAAUUUUUAUUUUAAAUCUUCUGAUUCUAUUAGAGAGGUUGAGGGUCCAAUAACAUGUUCCAACUCAACAAUUGAGCAGGUAUGAAUUUCCCUAAAGCUAAAAUCAAUCAGCGGAAGAAUAUUUCUCAUGCGAUAGCCAGAAUCAGACUAGGAUAUUUGUUCAAUUUACAAGCUAGAUGAUUUAAUCAAUACAACUGAAUAACAAGAAUACGCCCGUAGGAUGGAAUGCAUUUUUGUACAUUAUUGCACUCACCAAAAGUCCUUGCAUGAACAAGACCCAUCUUUAAAAUGAUGGAACCUGCAUCUGUCCCUCACAGUUAUCUCCCUCCCAUAAAUCUCAGAGAUAAGCUUAGUCGCGGCAUGGCAAUCACUGCAAACCCUAAGGUUCUUCAAUAUACGGAUCGGCAUCCCUGGCUUCGUCCUAAUAAGCCCGAAUGCUAUCGCUAGCUUCUCGCUGUGACGGCACAGAGCACUCUCCUUCUCCUCUUCAUCCAUAUCGAGAAUCACCUCAGAUUUAUUGGGCGCAUACCCAUUUGCUUUUAGCCUCUGAAUCAUGUCUUCAACCAUUUCAUAGAUGUCAGCAGAUUGAGGGUGUGAUUCAUCCCCCAUAACAAAUUCAUGGACAACCCCAUCCGCCUCGAUCAAACUACACCCCGGUGGCUUCUUGAUCUUUCUCUCUAACAUAAGACCUCUUAUUCUCUUCACUUCAUCCCACUUCUGCAAUGAUCCAUAUAUGUUUGAUAGGAGAAUGUGUGUGCCGCCGUUCAUUGGAUCAAGCUCUAGAAGCCAUCUUGCUGUUCUUUCAGCCACCUCAAGGUUAUUAUGUAUCCUACAAGCACCUAAGAGGCCUCCAAGCACAAAGUAAUCUGGUUUCACGGGCAUACUUCGAAUAAAUUUUUCGGCCUCAUCUAUAAAUCCUGCUCGACCCAACAAAUCAACCAUACAUCCAUAGUGUUCGACGCUAGGCCUGAUGUUGUAAACACUUAACAUAGAAUCGAAGUGUGAACGGCCUUCUUCGACUAGGCCCGCAUGGCUACAUGCAGUUAACACACCAACAAAGGUGAUCGGAUCGGGUCUCACCUCACAGCUCUUCAUCUCUUUGAAGAUCUCCAGAGCCUUUUCACCAUGCCCACAAACUGCGAGGCCUCCAAUUAGGGCAGUCCAUGUCAUGACAUCUUUCUUGGGCAUGUCCUCGAAAACCCUAAUUGCAGUUUCUACACACCCACAUUUGGCAUACAUGUCGACAAGAGCAGUUCCAAGAACGACAUCCACGUCAACGUUCUCACGAUUGAUGUAGACAUGAAGCCACUUCCCAAGCUCAAGCGCGCCGAGCUGAGAGCAGGCCAAAACCAAGCUGGCCAUAGUAACUUUAUCCGCUUUAACACCAAUAAGCUGCAUAUCACGAAACAACGCCAAUGCCUCUUUGUAAUCGCUAUCCUCCACGUGCCCUUUGAUCAUAAUGUUCCAACAAAACAAGUUCCUCUCCGGCAUUUCAUCGAACAAUUGACGAGCAACCGAAACUCGACCGCACUUGCAAUAUAAAUCCAGUAGAGCGGCCCAAAGGACCAUAUCGAACCCAAGUCCAUUUGCCUCAAUGUACUGAUGAACCCGCUUUCCGGUUUCCAAAUCCCUGGCUCUCGCGCAAGCGACGAGGACAUUCACCAGCGUGAUCUCAUUAGGCUUUACAGACUCGAAUUCCAUCCGACGGUACAGAUCCAACGCUUCAGCCGCUCGAUCCCACUUGGUAUAAGCGGCGAUUGUCGUCGCCCAAGAGACGAGGGUCUUCUUCUCGGCCAUUUUGUCGAACACCUUGCAUGCGGAGCUCAAACACCCACAGCUGGAGUACAUGCUGAUCAGCGUGUUCUGUAUAUAAGUGUCCGAUCCGAACCCAAACUUAACCGCAUGGGAAUGAAGCUGCUUCCCAUCGCUGAGGCGCCCACAACACUUGAACAGAGAAGGGAACGUGAAGCGAUCGGGGAAGAACCCACCUUGAAUCAAUUCAACGUAGAAUUGGAGGGCGUUAGUGGGCAAAUUGUUGUUGGUGUAGGCGCGGAUGAUGGAGUUGAAGGUGAAGGAGGUGGGGUUGGGGAUUUGGGAGAAGACGAGGCGGGCGUAGUCGACGGAGCCGAAGGGCGAUGUGGCGGCGACGGAGACGAAGGCGAGCGCCGUGCGCACCAUCUGGGCGUGGAUCUGCUUGAGCUGCGACAUGGUGGCGCAUUGGUCGAGGAGGAGGUGAGGUGUUGGGGAGGGUUUAGGGUUUUGAGGGUGUUUCGGGGGAGGGAUAGUGCUGGUGACGAUAGAGGGAGCAGGGAAGGGAAGAUGAGUGGCCAUUGAAUUGAGUAGAGAGUUCGCAGGGAACCUACGAGCAUGUAUAUAUAUGUAUAUAUAUGCAGUUUUAGUUUGCUUCCUAAACUUUCGGUUUUUUGCAAUUUAGUUCAUAACUUUUGUAACUUCCUGUAAUUUUAUCCUUUAGUUAAACUUCAUUGUUUGGGUAUUGAAACUAGUUUGAGUACAAAUAGAGAUUUUGCAGCUAGGGAUGUCAAUAGGUAGGGAUACUCAAAAUUUUAUCUGAAUCCAAAUUCAAACAUAACGGAUUUAUUUGAUGGGAAGCGGAUAUGGUUUUGAAUAUGAAUAUAAAAAAUAAAAAUCCGAUGAACAUAAAUUUGGAUAAAUUUGGAUAUGAAUUUUGACUAUACCUGACGCAAACUCAAACUCGACCCGAAUCCGACCCAAAAUUGAAUUUAUUUUACAUUACAUAUAUAUAUAUAUAUAUAUAUAUAUAUAUAUAUAUAUAAAUUUGAUGUUAUAUUUGAAUUUGUAAUAUAUUUAAAAAAAUUUAGAUUUAAUGUAAUAUAUUUUGAAAUAUUGAAAAGAGAAAUAAUUGUUUCGGUUUCAAAUUUUCAAGUUCGAGUUCGGAUUCGUGUUUUAUAUUUUUGGUCAUGCUCAAGUUUGGAUAUGAAUUUUUAAAAUCCGUCAGGUUCGGGUUCUAAUUCGGUUUUCGGAUUUGGAGUCGGGUUCGGAUCUGGAUUUUUGAAAAUCCGCUCCGAAUCCGACCCGUUGACAUUCCUAUUCGCAGCCCUAGCCAUUGAGCGACAACCUCAUUUUGUGAUAUCAAACUAUUGGAAUUGAGAUGGCAGCGAAAACUUGUAGAUUAGAUAGUCAACGUAUCUAAAAAUCAAAAUAAGAUUAGGUUGUUUGUUUCACUAGCCUUUUUUAAUUGCCCUUGUCUCAAUGCUUUUGAAUCUUUCAUGUAGUUUUUUGGAAAAACUUUAAAACCCCCCCUGUGGUUUCGUAGUUUCUCACUUUACCCCCUUGUGGUUUAAAAUGUAUCAAAUUGCCCUCCUGUGGUUUCGUUUUUAUCUUUUCGGUAGCUUUUUUGUUAAUAUUUCAUUAAAUUAUAUACAAAAAACUUCAUAUACCCAUCUAGAUUUAUCAAAUAUUCACUUUAGUACCUUUUAAUUUUAACUUUAUCACUGAUUUAAAAAAAAAAAAUAAUAAAAUUGAUAAGAAAAAAAAAAAAAGAAACCACAGGGGAGCAAAUUGAUACAUUUUAAAUCACAGGGGGGCAGAGUGAGAAACUACGAAACCACAUGGGUUUUUUUGAAGUUUUCUUUAGUUUUUUUCCACGUGCAUUGCGGAUCUGGCGAAACGUGGUAUCAGUAAAUCAUUUUGAUAAUUGAUUGCAUCUACAAGAAUUAAUUUAGUUUGUUUGUGAGAUCAACAAUUAACUAACAAAUAUAAGGAUCCAUCUUAGUCCCGAGUUAGAUUUUUAUUGAAUGAUACUAUCUGUUUGAUUGUUUUUAAAGAAAAGAGAGCGUUUCAUACGGUGUCCGCAACAAAUUUGGAUGAGGGAUUUGGUGGUGCUGCAGAAUUUUAUACUAAAAUAUUAUAAGUCUAUUUGUUUUAUCGGAACUAAAUUUUAAAUUGAAAUAAACUUUGAGUUGAAAUAGAUUUCAGAUAAAAAUUAUUUUAGCCCCGCUGUUGCUUUCAUAUUUAUGAAAAUAAAGUUUUUCUAGUUAGUUGCUUGCUUGGUAAAAAGUAACCGGUGUAAAAAUUAUAAUUUACACAUAAAUAAGAAAUAACUUAAUAAAUAAUAAACUAUAAUGUAAUAAAUAAAAAACAAUAUAAUUUUUUCCCUUUAUAAUAAGAAAUGUAAUCUAAAAACAACUAAAUUAAAAAAUAUAUAUAUAAAUUUUAAUAAUACAAUAAUAAAAUUAUAAAGUAAAAAAAUAUAUAUACUCAAUUUCAUAGUAUUUUAAAUGUUCAAACCAAAUGAAAGAGAUAUUAAAACUCAACUAAUCAAUUUCUACCAAAUUUCAAAUAUGUAAACUAAAUAAAAGAAUAAUUAGUACAAUAAUUAGAUAUAACAUUUUCUGUUCUAUUUUUUUCUUCAUCUUUUUUUACCGUAAUUAACUUCAUUAGAGACCGCCAAAUUUAAUUACGUUAUUUUUGUUAACUAGAGUUUCAACUGUAUUUUUUUAUAACGAAUUAACAAACGAAACUGAUCAUUUAUGGCCGAAAAUAAUUUUACUUCUCUCUAAUUUCACCUAAACAAGUAGGCCCUCAGUAAAACACAAUGGUAUGCAUCAACCGACGAGAAAUGAAAGGAUUGGAGUUUGCGAUCCGCAGAUUUCAAAGCCGGAGAGAUUAAUUCUUGGUGAAGAUCAUGUCAAGAUGGUAGUUUUAGCAGGCACAUCUAAUACUUUUCCACUAAUGUUGAUGCACAACUAAAUUGAAAUUCAUAUUUUAAAUUUAAUUUUUUUAAUAAAAUUUAGAAAAAAAUAAUGUGCAAAGAGUAUUUUAAAAAAAUAACAAACGGCUUUAGAAAAUUAUUUUAGAGUCUUUUUUUAUUAGACUUAGCUAAAUGCUCUAUAAUUUUUAACAAAACUUAAUUUUCUAAAAUAAAAUUAGUAUGGUAGAAAUUACUUUUAAACAGGUUUUUAUUGUACUUAAAGAGCAGUGCAAUGUGGCUGUGUAUAAUUUAGCCCAGAAAAAAAAAAGAGCUUAUGUCUUAUCUGGCUUUCUUCCAAAAAAAAAAAAAAAAACAACAAUAUAACCUUCUUUUAAAAUUUUUUUUAAUUUAAUCUUUAUCUAUACCGAUCUUAGUUUUUUUAAGAAAAGGAAUAAAAGUCCGACCCACACCAAAAUUUAAUUUCUUGGACCGGGCUUGGGCAUAAUAUGGUCCGACCCGAAUCAGACCCGGUUCCAGCCCCAGCAGCGACUCAAUCUGACGUUUUAUAAUUUAGCCGCGAAAAAAAAGGAAAAAAAAAAAACCCUGCCCCCUCCGACAUCGCGAAGACUCCCAACUUUAGAAGCUCGUCGUUCGCGCAGCGCUUUCGCCUCCCUCUUCGAUUUCGAUCUCUUCAGGCAUUCGAGAACCUCCUUCCAACGAUCUUCACAUCUUUCUGCUAAUCUAUCACACUGUGUAUGAUGCUUCAAUAUAUAUUUAUUUAUUAUUUAUACGACCUGAAGAAUCGCUUUUUUUUUAAAAAAAGAAAAGCUUUAAGUGUCUGUUUCAUCUGUUCUUCUGCGUUGCAAUCGCGUUAUUGUUUUUCCCACACCAAGCAACUUUAUCUGGUCGCAGGUGUCGCAGGUUUAAAAUCAAAAUCUUGGAAUCGUUUCUAUUAUCUGCCCCAGGUUUUCUCUGAUAGAACUGUCUAACAUAUAUUCCGUCACUCUUCGAGAUGGUUUAUCAGAUUUACACUUCUUUCCUUCCUGCAUGGAUCGGAUAUGUGUUGCGACUUUGAUUUGUUGACGGUGAUGGGCUCGGUGGAUUGACCUCCAUCCUGUUUUUCCUUCUCUAUAAUGAUAAAAACGAUUUGAAUUUGUGCGUUUUGUCUUCCUAAUUAAUUCUAGGAUUUAUGAUUGAGUAAAUCUUAUGUCCUGCAGGCAUGACUUUUUUCUAUCAUUUAUCAUUUAAUGUAUGUUAUAUAUUGAUCUAUUUUUCUCCCAAAUGUUUUCAUAUCAUUUUUCUUUCUUUUGAAAUUUUUUCCCACACCCUAAGACACUGCAUGAUGUACUCUGUCAUUGUGUUGGUUCCUUUCAUUAUUGUAUUUCAAUUUGUUGUCUCAGGGGUAUUAUGUUGACUUUCUGGAAAGCCCUAACUGAAAGAAGCACCGGCAAGGCGACGCCAGAUAUGGGCAAGAUCACCAUGAAGGAUGACGCAGAGCUCCGCCGUAUGCACAAAAAAUGGAUGGUGAAGAUUGGGCGUAGAUAUGCAAAUGCUGAGGAGGAGGAGCGGCGUUUUCCAGAUCUUCAAGCAGACAGUGGAGAGGUGUGAAAGGCACAACGCAAAGAAGAAAGGUCACAUUGCAGGGUUGACCUGCUUCGCCGAUCUCACAUCCGAGGAGUUUACUGCCAGGUUCCACCCAAUUGAGUAUCCCCCCUGGGUUUAUGAGAAGAUGCGGGAGGAAAGGGAGAGGGAACUGGAGAGGGAAGCCUUGCGAUAUGCCAGGGAGAGGGAAGCCUUGCGAUAUGCCGGGCCGCCCGAAGAUUUUACUUGUUUCGGCUGCGGUGGCCCUUACUAGAACAUCAAGGCACAAAUAGUCCAUGCGGCGGUGUUGGUCUUGCUAGCGACUUGAUAGGUUAGGCACCUAGAAGAAAAUUUUAUGCUGCAACAGUUGUAGCGUCUACUAAUUUUAGUGGUGUGAUGAAACUCGUUGUUGAGCAAUCUUAGUGGUGUGGUGAAAUUCUCUAUUGAGUAAUCUGUCUACUACUAACCUUUUGCUAAGUAAUUUUGGUGGUGGUGUAGUGAAACUCUCUGUGGAGUAAUCUAUCUACUAUUAACCUUUGGUUAUUCUCUAAAGGGCUAUCCAAAUUUGUGGCUUGCUAGUUUUAGUUCUAAUAUCGAUCUCAUUAUUUGCUCUUUAAAUUACCAAAAGCACCCGUUUCCAUGCUUUGGAGACUCGAAUAUCCACAAAUCACUUUGAAGUCCCCUCCUCCAAUGUUGUAAAAUCAUGAAGCCAACCGCUAGAGGUGAAGUGCUGGGUUGAUGCUUCUCUGGUUGUAGUUACCAGCACCACCCUUGUAGCAUCAGAGGGGAACUUCAAAGUGUUUCGGGAUUUUGUAGGCACUGCAAAGCACUAAAUUGGCCAAGUUGAUUUAAGAUGGCAGAUUCUCAUUACACACUAGUAAUCUGUGCUAUAUCUUUGAUCGGACUGCGUAAACUUCAUCUGUUGCUGCUCUUGCUAAAUGGAGCAUCACAAAGAAGAUCGCAGAAUGUUGAAAGCCAAGUUUUGACUCACUGUUUUGAUCUGCGGCUUCGUCUGUUAUGUAGUCAAGAUAAACCUCUUUCCUAUUUCCUAUAUGUAUUAUCUGCUGAGUGUUCUCCAAGUUUGUGGUAACCCAGUGCAGUUCUGGUGAAAGAUGUUUUCAGUACAUUAUUUUAAUUAGUUAUAUAAGAAUUAAUUUUAUUUAUUAGAUCAGCUAUUAGCUAACAGAUGUUUGGAUGCAUCAUUAGUCUUUUUUUUUUAAAGCUCGUUGUUGAAUGUUGCAUCGUUUAUCUUAUUGGGCAGAACCGGAGAAGAGACCUAGAAAAUCUGCAUGGUCCAUCCAGAUGGUUGGCGCUUGAGAGACUCAGAGAGGAUAGUGCUGGUGACGAUAGAGGGAGCAGGAAAGGGAGGAUGAGUGGCCAUUGCAGUGAGCAAGGAGUCUACAGGGAACGUACGAGUAUAUAUAUAUAUAUAUAGCGAGAGAGAGAGAGAGAGAGAGAGAGAGAGAGAGAGAGAGUUUUAGUUUGCUUCCUAAGCUUUCCGUUUUCGCAAUUUAGUCCAUAACUUUUGUACCUUCUUGUAAUUUUAUCCUUUAGUUAAACUUCACUGUUUGAGUAUUGAAACUAGUUUGAGUCCAGAUAGAGCGUUCCCAUGCCUAGCCAUUGAGCUACAACCUCAUUUUGGUGAUAUCAGACCAACAUUCAUAACAAUUUCCUACCUUCACUAGUUAAUUUGAAGACUCCAGCAAAAAUUUUUGAACUGAACAUGUGGGAAUGCGAUAAAUUGAUUUACUGCAAAGAAAAAUUCAAUCACAACUGUUUUGUAUACACCCGCAGACACGCACAAGAUAAAUUGAUCAACUUAAAACUAAAUCUGGCAUUCUUUAAUCACGACAGAUAGUAAUACAUAUGUACCAACAGAGCAAGCCUCAAGCAUAACAACUGGUGCAAAAUAAUUGUACAAAUAUGUGAGGUAUCAAAUGCGGAACGCACCCGAGCAACACUUAUUAUUCAAGCCAUAUAAAAACAAUCAUAAAACACGAAUGUGAAAACUAAAAGGACAAGGCAAACAAACUCCCAUAAGUAGCCACAAUCUCUAUAUGUUAACUGCUUUCUUGAUUGCUUUACUGCAGGACUUGAUGAAUUUGCUGUUGAUUGUGGGAAGAGAAUUCUCAUCACCGAACUCAUCAUCAUCACCAAUCACCUUCGGUUUCCUCCCCAUGCAGUCCACACCUCUUCUCAUUCCUAAAAUCAUUGAAGGAGAUGAAGGGAAGGAUCUAAAUCCUCUAGCACUCUCAGACCUCGGAUUCCCUGCAUUCUUUUCCUCCCUCUCCUUUAUGUCAAAGCUCUUCCGCCCACCUAACAACACCUCUUUUCUGUUGUUCUCUCUGCAGUUUUUGUCCUUAAUUUGCUCCUCAUUAGAAUUUUUAUCAAAACUGGUUUUUUCUUCCUGUUGGUUGAAAGGAUUCAUUUUGUCUAUUGUUUCGCCAAUGCAGAUCUGCUGUUUGCCUUGAUUAUCCAAGAGCGAGUUAGUAGAGGUGCCUUCCUGUGAGUUCUCCAUGAGCAUCCGGAGCCACUUCUCGACAUUCCCUUUGCCAACUUGUUUCAUGUAUUCUUCGUCAUCUCUGCGAGGGCUUUGAGGCACAGAAUUACUCUUUCUUGACAGACGAGUCUUUCCAUGAAGUAAUGAUGCUUCCUCUUUGGCCUCUCCCGGUUUUCCAUGCCUAGUGUUUUCUGUACACACAAACGGGCUUUGAGGGAAUGUAAUUUCCUUUAUCUCAUUCGUCUUGCUGCUGGUUCCUUCUUUAAUUGUUAAUUUCUCAAGCUUCUCUCUCACCGAAAAGCCACUGCCAUAUGUCUCAGCUUCUUCCUUCUGGCUUUGAUGACUCGAGUUCCUCCCUUUCAGUCCAACACUGUUGCUAUAACUUUCCUCUUUUACACAUAAACCUUUAAAUUUAGUUUCCUCUGAUGGAUCAUUCUUUUCAUAUUUCAGAACUCUAUAUGCUUCACUGUUCUCACCUUCACCUGAUGUCGAAGUUUCGUCCAACACUUCUUCGCUGUCUUCGCAAAGAGAACGGCCUGCUUCAGAUGCCUUCUGCUCCUCUUCCAGGAAUUUUCUAAGCUCUUUUUUCAGAGGGUUCAUGAUUCUUCUAGUGGACAACAAUUCAAUGCUUUCAUCAUCCCUUUCCUCGAUAAGAUUAUCAUCAAUGCGUGACCUUUUCCGUGCUUGCUCCGAAAAAGGCUUGAUUUGUUUCUCUAUGUUAUCUCUUAGUUUGAACUUUCGACGAAGCUCAUUCUCCGAGGAAUCGCAUAUCGCUCUCUGGGCCUCUAAUCUCGCCAUGAGAGCACUAGUUGCAGACUGGUUCAGCCUAAGCUGUUCCUUGUAGACAACACUCCUAAAUAGUGCCACAAAGAAUAAAACAAUUCAUUGACCAGCAAUGUUUCCUAUUCACAGGGCCUGUUUGUCUUGUAUGAUGCUUUUUGGAGUAGCACUAUUGAGUAUAAGCUGCUACAAAAAAUACAAUUGACAAGUGCUGAUGCAGCAAGGCCUGAGCAAAAUUAGCCUAACGGCCCAGUGCGAUCUGGCCGACUGAAAACCCCAAACGUGCUUAAGUUUCCUAUUUCUUUGGUAGACCUGGCCCAGCCCAUUCAUUUUGAAUCAACACAAGAUAAUAUUAUCUAAAUACAAUUUCCUGGCUAGGCAGUUCCAAGCCAACCAAAUUUAACAAGGAUGCUGACCUUUUGCUCAGGUUUAGCUGCAGCGGAAGCAAAAGCUUCAAAUUUGAACUUAUGCUUUUCAAGGUUUAAAAGUUCAUUUUAGCUUUUCUCAUAGCAAAAGCUCUGAGAAAAGCCAAGCCAAACGGGCACUUAAUCAAGAUAUUUAGACAGUUUUGGGUUUUUAGGAGUGGCCUUACUGGUGCAUGGCAUCACGGAUCAUCUUCUCAAGUAAAGCCUUAUAAGAAGACUGAGCCUCUGCUAAACGCCGGCAUUUCUCAACCCGACGCCUUCUUUUGAUUAGAAGUGCUUCCAACUCUUGGAUAUUAAUUCGGUCUGCCUCAUUCUUUUGCUUCAAUUCCGAGAGUUCACCUUCCAAUUCAUUCAUUUCUGCUUGCUUCUUUUUAGCCUCUUCUCUCUGCCUCAACGAAUCUCUGGCCAUUACUAUGGAUAGGUAAGGGUUAUUACUAUAAUUAUCCAUAUCAGGGUUGUUAUUUUCUUUGGAGAUGUUUGGCCUGUAGCUCUGAACAGCCAUAGUAAGCGUGUCAUCCUUUUCAGUCGAGACUUUCCUUGCAGCUACAAAACAGUAAAUAAUUUCAAAUUAGGAACUUUGUGAGUGAAAUUUACAAGUAGGGAAAAGAUUUAAGUAAUUACUAUUGUAGGCCCACAAGUUUGACCCAGAAAUAGAUUUAACAACUUUCCUUUCAUCCAAAAGAUUAUGGCAAAUUUAGGCCCUGACAUUUGAUGCAUGCAAUUUCAACCCCAGAGUUUCAAUCUUAACCAUGAAGUUUGAUUUGGAUUUUAACUUUAAUCCAUGUUUUAAUUUCUGUCUGUGAGUUUCAAGGCUGGCACAAAUGACUAAUGAUGUUAUUGAUGAGGAGCAAAUGACUUAGUUGUCAAACAAAACGAAGUUCGGAAGCUAAAUUAUUACAAAUGAAAGUAUGAGGAUGAAAUGGAAAUCUGAGUCAAGUUGCACAAACCAAAUCUGUAAUUAACACCUAGAUAAAAAAAAAAAAAAAGUUUGGCAUUUUUUAUUUUCACUGACCAAUCAAUGGAUAAUUGUUGGGCCUCGAAGAUCUGUUUAUAUCGAGAGUUUUCAGCACUGAAGCAUCAGAUCUUCUUGUGGAAACAAUAGCUGCUGGAGCAAGCCCUACUUGCUUUUUCACAUCAGAGAAGUGUUGAGGAAAAGCAUGAGACUCGACAGCCUGCAGGGAGCUCAACUCCUCGUUCCCUCCAUCGCAAAAUAAGAAAGAAAAGGCUCUAUUCCUGCUUAUUUCAAAAAAGAAAUCAGUCAAUUUCUCAGUAAAAUUUAGCUCCUCAUCGGCUUUCAAUAGUUGAAGGCAUGUGUAUAAAAACCUAAUUACCUGAAGUCUGAGUUUCUUGAAGCAAAUAUGGAUAGGAAUUGGCUAACAGAUAUGCCUAAUUGGAGAUCCCACCAUGGUAUGAGGAACUCCAAUUUGUUCUUCUUCUUCUUACACACUUGGGAUUGAAGUAUUCUCAAAUUGCUAGGAACUGUUUUCCCCCCUCCUACAGUUCAUUCCGACGAUUUUAGUCGGCAAUACUAAAUUGAUCGAAAGAAGGUUUAAGACGCAAAUGAGAGAGUUGAGAAUAAUUUGAUCUACUUGUGCAGGGGAACCAGUGAUCAAUGUCCCAGGCAAGAGGAGAAGCUGAGUCGGCAUGCAAGUAAAGGACGUUGCCGAAUGGGUCUACUCGAAAGAGCGCAGGAUCGAAUCCUGCGUUCCUGAAUACAAAUAAAGAAAAUUUCAGUUUGAUUGCGAUUUUUUGGGGGGCAGUGUUUACUUUUUGAAGAAUUUAGGAGUUGAAACAAACUAGGCUGCUUACCCGAGAUGAUCCAAUUGCUUCCACAGGAGAUUGACGUAACCUCGAGGGUUAACACAAGGAACUGCCUCCGGAUCGAGGAUCGGAAACAUCUGAUUCAAGUCCUUUGCUCUCAGAGACUGUAAGAGCGAAAUCUAAUUUUAUCUUAUUUCAAAAAAGAAAGAAAAGACAUCUCUGUGAAUAUUGUUGGAGGCAUGAUGGCUUCAGAGAACAAUGAUUUCCACUAACUAUAACAGUGAAUGGCGCAGAUCCAGCACUAGAAUCGGGCGAAAAAAAUUCACAAAUCAGUUUUUGUGGACUACAAGUAGAUAGGGACCAAAAAAUCUCAUCUGCUUUUAUUCUCAGAUCCUUCCAAAAUGGCAAAUUGCAAAUUCUAAACUUGAAAUCCAAGUUACCCACUAUAUGUAGAGCAUAUUUAUUCAAAUCUCAUUUUUCACAAUGUAGUACAUAGAUAUAUAUAUAUAUAUAUAUAUAUAUAUAUAUAUAUAUAUAUAUAUAUAUAUAUAUAAAAGGGAGGGAGGGUGGGGGGGCGGCGUGGCGUGUAAAGACAGAGGAAACGAAGGGGGAGUUGUUACCUCCUGUGGCUGUAAAACAUAAGGGAGAAAGGUGAAAGGGGGCCCGUGGUUGUAAGGGUUGAGAAUAUUGGGGUUUCUACAGAGCUUGGCAUAGGCUUUCGGGUAGCCGAGGCCUUCGUCGACGGCCAUCUCCUCUUCCGUGAAGGCGAGCUUCGUGGCCAUCGCCGCUGCGCUUUUCCGUCGAUCUCUUUUGGUCUCUACACUCUUACUUGGCUAAGAGAGCUUGAUAGAAUAGCUUACAAGGGAACACUAUGUAAGAGAGUGAGAGUGGGACAAGAAGAUAGGUGCUAGGUUGGUCAUGAGAGAGAGCGUCUGUGAAGAAUUAGGGCAGGUGCUGCAACGGUCGGGUGCUCAGAGAGGAAGACGUUGGGUUUUUCAAAUUUUGGGGUGCCACGUCAGAGGGAGAGUAAAGAGAAUUGAAUGAAAAGGGCGGGUCGUGUUGACUGUGAUCUAAGAUCCUCUAAAUCAAUUCAAAAGGUACCACAAGGUAGGUACCCAAUGAUGCGCAUGUGGCGCUGUUUGAAAUUUUGAAUCCUCCUCUGCUGCAGCUUUUGUAGUUUAUCAGAUUGUGAACGCACAAAGGGACUAAGGUCGUAGCUACAGCAACUAAUGAACAAAUCCAAAUGACACAUGACUAAUACUUUAAUAAAAGGGUAGGUAGACCCCUGUCAGAUCAUCCGUAACAAAACCUUUCUUUUUAGAGUAAAAUGGACAAAUUUUACUAAACUGUAAAUUUAGUACCUUAAAAUUUUGAUUUUGCAAAAAUAUGGCAAUUUUUAGAUAAAUUUAGGAAUUUAUUCUGAAGUCUAUAUAAAUAUACUUUAUUAUUUCACAGAAUAAUCUGUUAAAAAUUUCACAAAAACAGGAAGGAAUUCGAAAAGUCAAAUGUAAAAAACGUCGCUGGCCGAGAAGCCUAGCUAAGGCUGAUGAGUAGACUGGUUCAUGCGCCAUAUCAGGCCUUGUUCGAGGAGGGCCUCGCUUAUCCCCAUUGCAAUAUGCACUGACAAAAGGGUGACAUUGCUCGUUCGGGUCAAUAUUGGAUCCCGUUUUUACUGAUUCGGAUAUUUGACUCGGCAAAAAGGGUUCUCAGAGACAACUAAGCAUCCCAGUCACCGAGCAUCCCAGUCACCAGAUCGAUUCCAGAAUACGAUAACGCUUUAUAACGUACAAUGCAAUAAAAUCUCCCGGUCAUCCUGGAUAGAACAGCUUGAGAAUAUAGAACUAUUCUACUUGAUAUUAACAGCUACUUUAGGGAAAUGGCCGUGAAUGAGAUGCUUCUACAUGAAGAAAUAACGCUAAUACCCCACAGAGUCCCCUUGAGAUUAGGAUUAAAAACAAGCAAUGUGAGCAACAAGGGAACAAUAAACAACUCUCAGAUUCGGCCGACCUACCUAGCUAGUGUACAGGCAUCUAAGUCCCUCGGCAAGCUUCACCGGGGAGCCUCUACAUCAUAACUACAACAUCAAUUUACAAAUCACGCCACUUAUUCUCUUGCUCUUCCCCUCUCUAAUUCCUGGUCAACAGUAGAACAUAACCCUCUUCACAUUCUCUUUCAGCGCAGGCAAGGGCUUCACGGAGGGCCCAUGAGCUGUGCGAGUUGCUUUCGAUGUCGAGUCUUGUUGUACCUCUGGUUCCAUAUAAAAGCGUGCUCGAAAUGCAGCUAAAUGCGCAUAGUAUGCUGGUGGAACUACAAUGAGACGAAAAGAGGAAUUUUUUUUGAGAGUUCUUCGGAAAUAUAAAAAGCAAAAUUACAGUGGAGAAAGGAGUAGAAAAUUACCAACAGAAACAGACCGCGUACAGCGAGCAUACCUGUAACCAUGCAAGAUUCAAAUUAAGAAGCACCGAACUAACCAUGCAAAAAGAGAGAAAAAUCAUAGAGGAUCUUACGUAUAGCAAAGGUUAUUUGUUAGUGUCUGCAUUUCAUCUGCUGUAAAAUUGUUUUCAUCCCAUAAAACAUGGUAAUGCGCUGGCCUGCUAGUUCCCUGCAAAACCCCACAGAUUACAUAUUAGCAAAUCGGUUGAGAAGCAAGAGCUCAAUAAAAUUAGGCAAAUCACAGUAGAAUAAUUGAAUAUGAACUUUUUAUUCAUUAUAUAUAUAUAUAUAUAUAUAUAGAGAGAGAGAGAGAGAGAGAGAGAGAGAGUUAGGCUACUAUAAUAUCUAUAGUAUCGAGACUCCGGUACUAUAGUCUUAUUUUCGAUUUUAGGGUGUUCAAAUCAACGAUCCAUACCGUUAAAACUGAUCUAGAGUAUUUGAAAUUUUUAGAAAUAAACCUUUAUAUUUUUUCGAUAUAGUUUACUUUAUGAUCAAAUUAUAUCAAAAUUGUUAAUUUUCAAUGACUACUAUGGCAAGUCUGUAGUUUAAGUGCAGCAGAAGAAUCUAAGUUUAUUCAAAUUUCGAUAGAAAGUACCUUAAACUAUUUAGAUCAAGAUUAGCAUCUUUGAUAUUGAAUUCAAAAAUUCUAUCCACAAAUUUUAAAGAUUGUUCAAUUUCCACCGUUCAUUUUGGCAUGAUUUAUUUACCGAGUAAAUGAUAUCGAAAAAAUUUAAAAUUUUAUUCCUAAGAACUUUAUAUACCUUAAAUCAUAUUUGACGGUAUGGAUUGUUCAUUUGAACACCCUAAGAUCGAUAACGAAACUAUAGUACCGGAGUUCCGGUACUAUAGAUAGUAUAGUCGCCUCAUUAUAUAUAUAUAUAUAUAUAUAUAGAGAAAUGAUUCGGUACUUUAAAAAAAAAAAAUAAAAAAGAUCUUAACCGUUGAUUAAUAGAGGGUAAAAAUGUAACUUUAAUACUUAGUAGGCAAAAAGAUUAUUUUAUUCAAGGUUAGUUUGGUAAUUAAAUAAUACAAUAUUUAAAGAAACUUUUAAUUGAGGUCCUAAAUUUAUGCAUUAAUUAGUACUAAUUUAGGAAAUUAANCUAAAUCUGAGCCUCUCAGUGAUUCUGUGCUCUUUUUCAGUCUAGUGAGUUUCAAGCCAAUCACUACACUACAUGUAUAAUGUCAGCCCCAAGAACAAGGAUGCCUAACUAGUUUUAAAAAAGAAAUACCACGAGUUAUUCAAUAAAAUAUUAAGACUCGCAACCAUACGUAAAUUAAAAUACCAAAUAUGUACAAUAUACCAAGAUUGUUUUUUUUGGUGAUGAAAAAUUUAUAUGAUUACUCCAGUGUAGAGGUUUUCAGACCUACUAUAACUUCCUAUAGACUGCAAUAUUACAUUUUGUCUUAACUUUAUUUUAAUAUAUCUUUAUGUGAAGAAAUAAAAAGUCAUUUUAACAUCUUUUAUAUAUUAUUGAAUGUCUUAAAUAACGCUAUACGUUUUCUACUAUAACAUAUGCAUCCCGUAAAACUGUAGCGAGAGAGCGUCUUUUGUAACCGGUGCAAAACCUAAAAAAGAUUUAACACAAAAUUCAAGUUUUGUAUUUAAUUCUUUUAGCAACAUUUAAAACAAACACGAUCACUGUACAAAAAAAAAAAAAAUAAAUAUUCGUUAGUUUUCGUUUACUCUAAAAAGGCUACCGAUUCGUUUCGCGCGUCCACAUUGUCUAUUAUAAUUAUUUUCUCGACAAAAGUUAAUCUAACCACCUUAUAUAUAUAUGAUAAGUGAUUAACCGAAACUGGUUUUAAUUGAAAGAGGUAAUUAUAAUCAAUGUUUUUAGGAUAAAUAAGAAAAAAAAAAAAGGGUAAAUCAUACGUACGCUAAUUGAUCAUUAUAUAAAAAAUAGCAUGAAAGCGUAGCAUGCGUUAUUUUAAAGAGACAUUAAAGUUUACCUCAGAAUCAAAUAUUUCUUUUCGUGUUCUUCCAUACAAAUACAAGAGAUUAAGAAAAAGGCUUGUGCUAUUUGGUGGAAAGUCAAAACUACGAGGGAGAUUUUUUAUAGUGUUGAUAAUCUCGAAAAGUUAUAUAAUUUCGUUUUCUACAAUAUAAUUACAAUUAAUAUCUAAUAGUAGAUCAUUGGGAGAUCAUGCAGAUUUGUCCUAGAUUUAAUACACCCGAGAUUCAUACCACUGAUUCGAUCCAGUUUUAAGAGGGGGAUUGUUCCUGUUUUGUUCGAAAUGUAUAAAAAUAGGAAGAGUGUAGUGAGGGUAAAAUUCCCAUGCUUUGGUAAACACAAUAGAGGAAAACUUUCCUGUAAAAAACGAAAUUUAAUAUAUACAAACAGAGUUACAGAGGAGUAAAUAUGCAACACCAUCAGGAUCAAGGAAUAGAGUAAUUAUUAAUUAUAUACACUCCUAUUAUAGAUGAACUGAGUUUGUACAAAAAUAUUUCCUAGCUACGCAUGCUAUAUCAUGGUUUUUUUUUAUUUUUUACACCAUCAUACCGAUAGGAGCAACGCUCUUUUUGCAAACAAAUCCUUACCCGGGUUUAACAGUUUCACCUAGUUGGGUUUACAAUAAUGAUGUAGAGUUGUAUUGUUUGUCUUGUAAUUGAAGGUGUUAUAUAACAAAAGAAGACUUUUUUUUUUUUUCCUUUUUUUAAAUUUUCAGUUUCACACGAACUUCUUCUACAAAAACAGGAAAAGAAAAUCGGUCUCUCUCUCUCUCUCUCUCUCUCUCUCUCUCUCUCUCUCUCAACUGGAUUUUAUAGACACCAUCAAUAUUAAGUGUAAAUUAUUAAAAAAUUAUAUUAAAGUAAAAAUAGUGGAAAUACUGUUUUUUAAGUAUGGUAGUUUCGAUAAUCUUCUUCGUGAUUGAUAAUAGUGGUAAUUUUAGUGAUAAAGAAUAUAAGAAUAUCGUCAAGACUUUUAUACGUGAAACCUUUUAGAGAAGCUAUCGAAAGUUAAGAUCGUCUGAUCCUUCCAGGUUCGCUUCAAUUUAAAUAACCAUCUUUUGGGAAAUCGAAUCUAAUACUGGUUUAAUUGUUUCCUGAAUUUUUCAUUUUAAAAUUAAUUUUCUAUUUUAGAUGUGUGAACGUGUUUUGGAUGUGUGGACGUGCGUUAUUGAAACUGUACGGUAUCAAAAGUGAACUACUUUUAUUUAUCUAAAUAAACAAGGUUUUCUUUGGUAUUUUGAUUAAAUAAAGAGUAUACACUUACGUGGUACCGUUCUUUUUCGGGAUUAAGUGCAUCAAGCAAAAUAUCAACUUCUUCGUUCUUUGCCCAUAGUUGAUUGUUCCUUGAGUACCGUGUGCCUUAUUCUUUGUCAUAUGUCCUUUACGUGUUGAGGCUUCUUGGUCACGAAAACUAAGCUAAAGAACAUCUAUGUUUCGAUUAAUUAGUGGUGCCAAGUCCGAGCAGCGUUAUCGGUGUCGUUUAUCUUUGUUGUCGUCGGUUUAAACGUUGAUAUCAAUCAUCUUCUCAUCAUCAAUCGUGGUGGUGAGGCGGCUGCGAUUUUAUCAUUCUAAUCAAUGUUAGAAGUUUGUACCAUCUUUCCCGUUGGGGUCUUCGUAAGUUCAAUCCGUGUUUUUUCCUCCCCAAAACCAAUCUUCCUAUUACUGCAUACAGCAUUAUAAUCACCAAGACUAGUACAUCAUUCGUAAAUGUGCGUUAAGGCACCAAUUAAUCAGUGAAGUGUGUCGUACUAACCCACUGUGAGGAGCUCUGCUACGAGGUAGUUGACGUUCUGUUUACACAGUCUCCCCCUCCCCGCCCCCCUCUUUAAUAUUGCUCAAGUAACGUUUAAACUGAAGCGAAGAUUCUAGUAGAAAAGAUAAUCUCUUCGUCUUCUACCUUGUAUGUCGAUUUACAACCUUUUUCAAUAGAUCAUUACUUGAACACAAGACAUGUCAAAAAGAAAACAUUAUAACUCGCUUUUGAUCUAGAAAAUAAGCGACGACCGGUUACAGCAUUAAUACUCCGUCAUAUAUGAUAUUGUCAACAUCCGUAGAACUUAAUAAUGCAAGUGAAUUUAACAAGUUGUUCCAUGAGACACAUACGAUGGAUAGAGAGUUUUUUUUUUUUUUUUUUUUUUUUUUUGUUUUGUUCCAUGAGCACAUAGGAUACGAGGCUUUCGUCUUCAAGUAAACUUCGAAUACUAAGAUUGAUAUUUUUAAACCAUUUUUAUAUGUCUUAAAUGGAUUUGAUGGUAAAACUCAGCCGAUAGGUUGAAAAGUUUUAAAAUUAAAAUGAUGGGUUGGAAAAUUACACCAACUAAACUUAGUUAGCUGCCAUGAAAUUGAAGUUUUAUAUUCGAUUAAUGAAAUUAUUUAAAUAUCAACACUCUUAACGUAUUUCGUAACAUUUCUAAUUGCUACGUAAGUUUAAAAUUUUAAUAACUGAUUGAGUUUGGUUGUUUAAUUCUCUGACCUAUCAUUUUAGUUUUAAAACUUUCCAAGCCAUCGGCUUAGUUUUACCAGGUAUCAAGUCCAUUCAAGAUAGGCAAAAAUGGCUUUUUAAAAUUGUUUUUCUAAUUUCGAAGAAGGUUGUUGUCGUCUACUUUUAUGGUUGAACGGUUUCAUCUAAAGAUUACACUUUUUCUGCCAUGGAAAAACGAGACCGGCCCUUGUUGCCGAGUUUUAAUCGAGAGGUUUACCGACAAGCCCUUGGCCAUACUCGAAAGGAUACUGACGAUUGCCGGUCGACGUGUUACUUGGAUAGAAGUAAUCUGAACCGUUGUCUUCUUUUUUAUAGCUCGUAUGUUCUCGGAGUACAAUUACUAGGCGAUCCAUUUCAAUAGUUGGUACUCCGAGCACACGUUGAGAUUGUAUUAAUCUGUCUAACGUAAAUUCAGUUGAACUCUCUUUCCUUUCUCUUACUCUCAUUUCUCUCUCUUCUCUUUUUCUCUUUACCUCUUUCUCGCUCACUUAGAGUUCAACAUAAGAUACACAAGUAUAUAUAAAAAAAAAUUUUUCCUUUUUCAACGAAGCGGAACCUUUUAUUGAUCAUCGUUUUAGCUUAAUGGCUUGUUUCACCAGAGUGGAGUGUUUUGGUUAUCGAUAUCUUUGUUCGGUGUCGAAGGUUCAAUUAAACUGUCAGCUACACUUGAAGGGUUCUUUGAGCUACUAUUACUGGAUAUAAUAUUUCUUCGUUUUCUUAAUUCGUUGCUAAAAAGAAGUUUGGUUGUACCCUUUUUCAUAAUUAAUAGAAACUACUAAAGUUAUGGACUUCAUCUUGGCAUUAGGGAUGUUACGGGUACUUCUCCAUCAAGAAACACUGAGGUGACUUAUAUAAGUCGAGUAAAUCGAAGGCACUUAAUUUGAGUAAUUUAUGGACUCUCGCUUUUUGUUUUUUAAUUCUCCUUCAGCAUAUCUUAAACUCUCGUGUAUAACUUAACAUUGGUCUGUAUUACCUUCAUUUACUUGUCGGAAACUCAAAUAGAGCGGACCUAUUUUACUGAUCCCGUUCUUAAGGGUUCUAUCCAACGUGGAUCUAUGAUAGAGCAACAAAUAAGUUUUUAACACUUCGGGGUUAUUCUUUUCUCGGUGUGUAUAUUUGAGAACCUUUCUAUAGAUAAAUGUUUAAAUACAUUUGAGACUUAAAUCAAAAAAAAAGAUUUUAUGUUUUUUAACCUUAAAAGUAUAUACUGAAGUUUUUGUAAGAAAGAAUGUAUGUUUUUUGAUAAUAUGUAUGUACGUUUUUAGAGAGAGAAAUGUUUAUUUGGAAAACAUUGUCUGGUGGUUGAAGGGGAUACUUACCCGGAUGGAUUGAAUGUUUGACGUCAAAACUCCCCCAUAUGUACUUUAAGUCUAAAAUAUCCCCAUAUAUUUAUUAUCUAUAAAACGUCAUUAUAUAGACCUUUUUGGUAUUGGUUAACUCGAUUUGUUUUACGUCAUUUGGGACCUUUGAGCAUUUAGUCAAAGUACAGCUGAGUUAGCAUCUUCUCCUCCAUAUUUGAAUGAACUGUCUCUUGUUUACUUAACUUAUAUUUCCAUAAAAAUUGAAAGAGUCGUACUGACCCUGACAGUAACAAGUUUACGUCUUACGAGGACGGAGACUUCAAGUCACAUUCUUCCUGUCACUAAACUUUGUGUCGGAUGUUAGUGUCGUUCUUUGUUAAUUGUUAUCGUCUAUCAAGAUUGGAAUCUCCUCCACUAUUUGAUUUUUUAUUUUUUAGUCGUCGUUCAAAACCUUCUUGUACUUGGACAUAUUUGUUCAAGGAGGUGUACUAUAAACAUUAGUCUCCGAGAGACGUCUCAUUCUUUUUAUCGGUAAUCCAUCUAGUAAGUACGAUAACUACGAUGCUCUUGUUAACGUUUCGUAUAACUUUCUGCUAAUAUCUCUUUUCCUAAAGACUGUUAGUCAAAUUUCAUUUUAUCCUCGGAAACUCCUGUUGAGAACUGUCAAGUAGAAGGUUUUUGUUUACGUACUUUCGCUGUUAAAUUGUUAUACUUUUUUUUAGUGAAUUCUCCCCCUUAAGAGGUCUGUUUCUAGUCCGUUGACUUCCAUUUUUUUGAAUAUUUAAACAGUACAAUAAUUACUAGACGGAUCAGAAAAGUACAUCCCUCCAACAACAACAGAGUUCUAUACCCGAUAAGUUGAGUUUACUUAUUAUAAUGUUAUCUUUGCUCGCUCGGUUUAGAUUUCAUCGAAUGAUCGAAUAUUCGGUUAUAUUUCUUCAUAGGGUAAAAUGUGUUUCUUUUAAGAUUGGAGGCCGGCUGUCCACUCGCAAAGUAUUCAAGUAGGCAACCACCAAGUCAACGGUUACGUUCUCGGGGUUCACACAGGUACUAUUCCAACUGGGUUUCGUCGACAAGGUUUUUUCUUUUACACGCAAUAUUAUUAUAAGCUGACGUUUAAAACAUCAGGUAACUUUAAUCAAAUCAGGAUAAUCUCUCUCAUUGUAGUGUUCAUGGUUUUGUACGAAUAUGGUAAUGAUCGGUCUUACUACUAUGUCUUUCUGCCGUAGUCUACUGUGAGUAGGUCGAUUCGUGUAGUACGAUUAAAUUUUGUAAAGUGUUCGUUUAAACAAAAACCAAAACCGAUCAGUAAAAGUAGGAUCUAAUCGUCCAUCCUUUUCAUAUCGUAUAAUUUGGACUUGUCGUAAAUUUCCUUGCAACGGUCUUCUUUGUCGUCGUUGGUGCAACUAGUGUUCUCGUCGGUGCAACUGCCACUCGACUUUGACUUAUUUGAAGACCUACAAACGUAUGUGUCUUGCUGGGGUGGCCUGUUGGAUUUUGUUAUUACAUAUUCUACUGGUUAAAUAUAUUGUCCAACUUAGAACUUAAUGUAAAUAGCGAUUUUUUUCUUUCUCGUUUGGAAGUGUUGUCUACGUUUUAACAGUAGUUCUUAUUAUUACAGGCGUGAAAGAAAUCGAUGGAGACAAGGGCUUUACGGGUAACGUUCUGGUUAUAGUCGGACUUUCAGUAUUUGUUCCACUUAACUCUUAAAUAGUAUUUUGUUACUUCGUAAAGUACCGUAUAUAUAAAAUACAGUAGAUUCAGUUUGGAGUACAUUACGUCCUCGUAGUAAACACGGUAGAGGCCAUUGUCGUUGGUGUACCAGAGAUGAGGAGUUUCGAGAAUGUUCGUCGUCGAACAGUAAACCCCUUCUAGAAGGGUAGUGGAUAUUACGGUUUCGUGUAAAUAAAUAGAAGUAAAAAUGUAUGCAAUAAUUAGGAGAUUCCAAAGAUGUUCGUCGUUGAACAAAGUCUUCAUUGUCUGCUUACAGUUCCUUUACCAAUUUAAAGUACCUGUACGAUUUGUAAUUCAUAGUGUUUUGUUUUGUUCGUGUGAUCACUUUGUCUUCUUUUUCCGUGAGUUUACCUGAUUUUUCCUCGAAUUAGUAUGGUUUUGUUUGUUAGAACGUCAAUAUAUUACUUUUUUCAUUUCUAUAUAUACAUAUGAAUUUAUAAUGAUUACGAAAGUUUAUAGAGGUUAAAUGUGUUCUUUUCUCCCGUGACAUGAGAAUGUCUCUAAAGUAAUCGUUAGCGGAGAGAAAGACGUAGUCAUGCACGCGCUUUACAAGAAGGGAGAUAGUGGUGACCGAGACUGUGUAACCCUAGUCAUUCAUAGGGUGUGAGGUUUCGUUACCGAAACCGACAAACUUCUAAUAGGGGUCAUUGGUAUGCAUGGAUGAAUAAAUUUUCUUGUUUGAUUACAUUUAGUCCCGUAAAACAUAGGUAAGAUUAUUGUCUCAAAUCAGUUCUUACUGUUGUAACAGAAACCAUUCACUUUAAGUUGGUUUGAACAGAUGUUUUAAGUGAAGAAGUUUAUUUCCACUUCUUAUGUACAAAGGAUGUUCCUGAUUGUAGCUUAUACAUUAGGGUGAAAGUGUUUACUUGAUCUUUUGGAUGUCUAGAGAUUAUAUUCUAUUAUUUUUAAGUUGUUGUCGUAUUCUUCGAUGCUUUUCAUGGAACUGUGGUCGUAGAGAUGUAUCGUCUUGUCGUAGAGCCUGAGGUCCUGCUGUUCCUAGGAUGUUCAGUUUGUCUACAAUGUGCAUUAUUAUUCUUAGUGGUCCGUAGUAUUUAACGACUCUUAAUGUCGUUUUACUCUUCAUACUUUUGUUACAAAAUCCUAGACUUCAGACUUGAUGUAUAUGUUCCACGGAAAACACUUAACGUAUAGUUAUUGUAUUUACCGUUAUGUUUUACCAUGUUACAAAAAGAACAAGGUGAACGUGAUGACGGGGUCUACCGUGUAUCAACUUCUAAAAGUUCUUAGUAAUAGUAUUGUCGCAAAGUGUACCAAAGAACGUUUAAAUAGCAUCAUAAAACUUAAGGAACAUACGUUAAACCUUACUCUUUCUUGCUUUCUUGUUAUCCUAAGAGGUCGUGCGUGGAACUAGGGGUGUUAUCGUUCGUCUUAGUUCAAUAGGAGUCCGUUGUGGGUCAAAUGAGAGACAAGGAGCGAACCUUGUAAAAGGUUAAGUUUUCCAGACAUACGCUUUCGCUGUGUCGCUUCUGAGGCACGUCGGUAUAGAAGUUAUAGGAAGAACUUAAGUAGUCGGACGUUAUCAAACUACGUACUCGUUUAUAAAAGUUCCAUUUUUAUAUCCCAUUUUACAUACCUAUCAGGGACUUGAUAAGACUGUGGCGUUGAAUUUAGAUUCGAAGUGGAUAUUGAAUAGUAAAAUAUGGAGAACAUUUUACUGAGGGAAUAAAUUACAUUAACUUUAUCCUAAUCUUUCCAGUAACAUAUUUUUGUCAGUUGUCAGUACACACCAGUCUGAAGAAGUUGUGGUCGUUACCCUAACGUUAUAAAGGUCCUGAAUGCACAAAUUUAUUUUUCAAAUGUCUGAUUCAGAGCCAUAGUCCUACCAUCUCUUUUCAGAGUCAUAGUCCUAUGAAUUCUUUGAUAGGUACGUUAAAUGAAUUCGUUUUUAACAACACUAGAGUAUUGGUUGGAAUAGUCUUCAGUAGUCGACGAAGACCGGUAGACGUAGUUCGGUUGAUCACGUACGUCGAUCUUGUUAAAGUCGUCGAGGAAAGGUUACGUGUACUUGAAGUCUUGGAGGGACUUCAUAUUUCGCGUUUUCAUUGUUUUACGUCUUUUCUUCCUAAUUUUUUAAAAUCGUAUGUACUUCUUUCGUAAUACGUUCUUGUUCGUCCUUGUUUUUCUUUCGUGUAUUUACGUAAUUUUUCUCCGGGUGAGUGUACGUUAUCUUUAUUUAGUCCAUAUCGCACUUAGCCCAUAGAGAUUACACACUUGGUCCAUGUCGUUCGACAAGUUAAUAAAUAACUGACCUUUUCGCUUAAGCGUACGUAUGCCUGUACACAUCCGUUAUGUGACUAAUAGACAAUUGAGUUUAACUAAUAUUUCAUCGAAAAAUAGUCGAAGAAACUAUGUCUUGAUCGGUUUUGACAAUCGUCUGUUUUCAGCAUAACCCAAAAGUGUUACUGAUGUGCAAUUGUUCUCCUCGAACGUACUACUACGUGUUAUUUCCCGUUUGACACUUCGUCAUCUCUUUCUCCAUUGUCCAUGUUCACACAUUGUGCAUAUAAUUCUGGAUGUUUUUUUUACGUCCCGAUCUUCGGAUCUUGCUUCGUAUGAACCUCUCAGUAUGAGUAUUACAAGAAAUCAACCUUCAAUAGAGUAUAGAAUAAACUACUAAUCGUCGACGAUAUUUAAUGAUGAUUUAUGUUGUUGAGCUCUUCUUUGUCUUACGUAGACUUUUUGUCUUCUUGUAUGUGUUUAUCUUUAUACAGUGACUUUUUCCUUGUGAUUAGGUAACCAAGUGCUCUCUUUUACGGUGACUUUAAAAACCCAAACUAAUGGUGCACAUGGCGUUGUGGUGGUGCAAAAAAUAGACUCAACUUUCCUUUCUGUACUUCCUAACUUCUAAGACUAGAGUAGAGCAAUUUAAAGUAGGGUUCGAUGUUUUAUAAUCGAGUUUAAUCUCGUUGUAUUUUUAAUAUUUAUAUCUACUAUUUCUCUACUUUUGUCGUUCAGUUGUUUAUUUUCGUGGAAGUGGGGGGUUCUUUCCUACCGGAAAAGUCAUCCUCUAGGCCAGUGAAGUUGUCGUGGUGGGACAACUCAUAUAAAAGUUUCAUCUUAGUACAGUAGUAUGACUGUUUGAUCGCUAUUCCCUUUUCAUUUAUAACACCCUUAAACUCCUUAAUUUUCUGAACUCACGUUAUAAAACGCAAACUGUCAAGUUAACUUCUAUUACUUUGUCACUCAAUGUCUACUUACUACACAACGGUUAUAGCCAAUAGUCGAUAAUAUUUUGAAGGUCGGUUCUAUUGUCGUUAUUUUUAUAGUCUUGACUACGGUGUUCGUGUGAUUGAUACUUUCACGUCGUUUACCAAACCGAUUUGUGGUAAUCUCUAAUUGGUUUGUCUAAAGGGAUCGAGUGGAGACCGAGUAUAUGCGACGGGCUACAUAAAACACGUUAAGGGAGUUCAUAUUCUCAACUCUACCAUCCUCUGUUGUUGAAUUGUAAUAGACCUCCAACAUGCAAGUGCGGUGGUUGUAUGCGGAGUUGUUGUCAGUAGAUUUUAUAACUUAACUCUGUACCGUUCUAGUGUUAUUUUUAAUUUGUUAUAUGUAUUUACAUUAUCUCUUCUUCUUUUUAUCUAUUAAAGAUUACGGGUUCCUAAUGUUAUGUUUGUGUUUUUCUGGAUUGACUUUAGUCGAUUGGAGUAAAUUCCAGUUUCAUGGGCAGAAUAGUGACGUUUAUCAACAUCGACUGGGGUAUCAAAGUGUUCGGCUUUCGGCGGCAUGGACUCUGUCUUCGUGAAUUUUCAGUAUUCCGGUUUUAUACUGAUCGUUGUAAACGUUACAUUCAGUGUUUUUAUAUGCACGGUCUCGGAACAGUCGGUAGUAAAAAGCGUAGCUCAUUCGGUCCGACUUCGUUCUUGUCUCUUUAUCAUUCACAAGGGGAGUUUUCUUUUUUUUCCUUUCUCUUUUUUCCACUUGCGUUUUAGAAAAAUUCCUUUUCCUUUGGUGUUCGUGAAUGCAGUUCCACUGUCGGUUACCAUCGGGAAGUCCGUGGCGUUGUUGUUGUUAUCAGUGGACCAUUAAAAACAGAUAAUUGUAUGUUGCGUUGACCUUUAACAUCUAGAUUAUUCGUCUUAGAGUUCAUUACCUAUGUAUGGCGUUGACAGUUUUAAAAAUGACGAGGCAAUUAACAUCGGAAGUGUAAACAAACAGGAAAAUAUAUAACUUGUCAUGGCAGUCCCAAGAAACAUACCGGUCAUUUCAUAGACUUUCUUAUUCUUUUUAAAACAAUACAUGCCUGUUGAUGGUUUGGAAGUCGGUUUGUGUGUCUCUUUUUACUAAUGGCUCGGUUUUCUUGAUGUUCAUGACGUGGUCGAUGUCUUUCGGGUUGAUAUGGUUACUUUCAUCGCUGGGGUAAAUUCGCGUGGAAAAGGUGUUUUCUGUUACUUUACUUCAGUGUUCUCUUCCUAUAUUCGUGCUAUUCGGUGACCAAUUUAGUCUUUCUUCGUGUAUGGACGUUUCCUCAAAGAAGUGGCCAUAGGAGGCUAUAUGACCGGUAAUUAUUUGGGGUAAGUCAUAACUAAGGUUGUCGUCAUUGGACCUGUAGUAAUUAAUUGAGAAUAUACGUGUGUGCACGGUUGAAGUACGUUAUUGUAAAGUUUUUUCCUAUGUUCUUCGGGCAGUCUGUUUCUACAGUUUUAAAAAGGUUUAUAAUAAACAUAUAAGAUAGAUUUGUUCAUGUUGAUUUUCCCUCUUUAUUUUAUCCUUUAGAUUGAUCAUGGAUUGGUCGUUUCAACAUACCAUUUCGUGUUUCUCUCUACUGUCGUUGAGUGGUUGUACCAUGGUAUUGGUAGUCGUUGAAACGUAGGUCGGUAGUUUUUACCACUGAAGACUAGGAACACCUGGACCUUAUUUAGUACCGUUGCUUAAUAAACAUCGAGUUGUACACGUACGAGUCUCCACAUAUCUUACUCCUUUGAGUGAUAGAACGAAAGGGGCCAGUAUGAUCUAAGUAGUUACCGUUCUCUUACUGGUGAUUAAUUCUACGGUAGUCGUCCCUGGAUGUUCGUGCAAAUGUCUCGGUAAAGUUAUACUUUUUUUAUUGUUUCCUUUGAUAGUAUAUUUCCUUGUAUAUUAGUAAAGAACUUAGUUUGGACUAGUGGCUAAAACUCUCCUUGUUGUAGUGGUUGUUGUUAUAGUUUAUAACUCUGGCCCUGAGAAGAUGGUGGAGAUUACUGGACGUAUAGUUUUAAAGAUUCUGGUGUCUCCUUUUGAUUUUCCUGUUUGACUAAAUCCUUUGUAAAAGUCUAUACUAUUUUGUAUGGAGGUAUACAUACAAAAGGAAAAGGAGCAAUUCCGAAACCUUGACUUCGCUAACGAAUAUCAGUGACUAUCGACAGUCCUUUGGGGUUUUUUUCUCCGAUGUCAGUUAGUACUUUAUUUAGUAUUUUUCUUGUGUUUCCUUCGAGAUAAUUUAAAAUCGUUCUUAUAUAAAAAUUUUUCAUUUUUAUUACAUGAGAUAAAUUGAAUAAUAACUCUAUUAACCACUUUGAAAAGGGUCUUUUUCAAAAUGAGGUAACAUCAAGUAUCGAUUUUGAAGCAAUGUUAAAAUCGAUUUAACGUGCUAACGUGCUAAAUACACUGAUUCAACGAACUUAUCAGUAAAAGAUUAGAUGUGUAGUCGUAGUUGGAGUUCUAUGGAUUUAUCGAAUUUUUAUAAAGUAAAGAAUUUUGACUAUAUCGUAGGACGAGUACUAUACUAUUUUGAUUUCGAUUAUAUAAAGUAAAGAAUUUUGACUAUAUCGUAGGACGAGUACUAUACUAUUUUGAUUUCGAUUAUAGGUCUUUGAAACCGAGAACUGUUCUUCGUUCUAAGAGUGUAAUAAAGAGAAAGAUUGUCUUCUGAAGUUAUGUAUAACUUUAGUAGUGAGUUGGUGUUAGAACCAUUUAAGAUCACACAAGAAAAAGUAAGAACAAAUAUUGGUUAGAAGUCGUCGUCUUUAUUGACAAAAUGAAUCUCAUUCUUUGUAAUGAAAGAAGACUGCUGAGUGAUUAUGGUGUAAAAUUAUCCGUGUAUAGUCCCAAAUUUAAUAGACUGGAUUCUAUUACGGUACGAUAUUAGGUCGAUUUUAUAAUGUUACAUGUUUCCCAUUUUAGCAAUCGGACAUGUUGUUCUUUUGAGUUUAUUGAAUUAUCUAGAUCUAAUGUACAAACAUUUAAGAUUGUUCUUAAAUAUUCGUUAUCGUAUGGUCAUUGUUAAUACUGUUCUUUUUGCCGUUUCCGUUACGAUGGUGGUAGUAUGGUAGGAAGAAAUUAUGGGAUGUAACCUUUCCAGCUUGUACAACUUAUUGAGUUCUUGCUAAUUUUUAUCAUAUCGUCAAUGUUUUUUUUUCCAGGAACACGUAUAUUGAUCGUUAUUUAUCAUUUUCGACUACAUGACAGACAUUCUCUGUUACGUGCGCUAGUCUUGUGAUUCCUGGCUUUAAUAUCACAUUUAGGUAAAUAAAUUAGAACUUUUAACUUUCGUGUCUUUUUACUACUUUUUUGAUCCCGUGUAUGUCUUUAGUUUAUCUGGUAGGAAUAUUAAAGUAUUCGUUUAGUAUGAAAGCCUCGUGAAUGAGGAUUUGCACAAUGUUAAAUCAUUAGUGUAUUUAUUGUCGACUCUUAGUUGUUGCGUCUUUUUAUCAUACUUUCUCUAUGUUUAUGCAGAAACGUGAUCUGUUUGAACCUUUUAUCUAUUUUGAUAUUUUCUCAUGUCUGUGUGUGUAAAAUCUAUCAUCUUUACGUAUUCUGACUGUGUUUCUACUCGUUCACUUGUAAUGGAGACAGAAUUACGGAUUAUGAUCUCUAUAUUGGCGUCGAUAUUAUUCCUACUAUUCUCAGUCUAGAACCGUUCGAAGGGUGUCCUUUUGGACAACAUAAUUCUCUCUCUCAGUUCACUAUCCUUUCUCGUUUUUGCAAGUUCGACUAGUUAUUGGUGUCACUCCGUUCUACCUCUUUGUUUGGUUCUUCGAAGAAGGAAAGAAUGCUCCUAUAGAUAAUCGGGGUUCACGUAAGGCAGAUGAGUUAUUCAGAAGUAGUAGGGGUGUUUAUGGGAAAAGAUUUAACCAGAAAUCGUUUAAACGAUAGGGAAAGUGGACGUUCCUUUAAGUACGUAUAUUUAUUGUUGACAAUCGUAAUUUUGAGUAGAUUGUCAGCGUCAUUAUCUUCCGUGAACGGGGAGGUAUAAGGUCAUUUCGUCUUAUUAACACUAGGGAUCAGUAACGCCAUUCGACGAGAACAGGUUAAGGUUUUGGUCCUCAUUGGUGACGUGUUCAUUUUUUUUCCAUAAUGUAGUACCAGCCCCUUUUUCUUUGAUUGUCCUUUAUGACUUUUGAAGUCUAACUUUAAGAUAUUGAUAGCUUUCUUUGGAUUAAACGAUUUAAGCGUUACAUUCCUAUCAAAUGAUUCGUAUACCUCUGUCUUACAUAGUAAAUAGUUUUUCUUCAAAUAACGCAAGUAGAAGUAAACCGUAAUUAACAGUCGUCUAUACGAUCUCUUCAAUCUGUCGAAUUCCGUCGAACGGGAGGUAUAUAUCUGUAUAUAGAACUAUUUUGUAAUGAGAGUAAUUCUCCUUUAAAGUGGAUCCAACGUUCUCGGAUUUAAUGUUCACUUUUCAUUUAAUGAUAUCUGCAGUUCACUUGAUUGUCUAAAUAACUUUAGGGAGAUAUCAUACUAAAAUGUAAAAGGGACAAUCGUAGUCAGGGACCCCAAUUAAAACUCAACUAUUUAAUGGUAUUUCUAUUUAAGUAAGGAAUUUUUAACGUGAUCAUUCGUGUUUUAAUUAGAGAUAUAAGACUUUGUGUCUUAGUCGAUCUAAUUAGAUGAUCAUCUAACCAACCCUCCCCUGGGAUGCUUCAAUUAGACUUUUUUUUUACUUUUUUUACCCUUCCUCUACUUACUAUAUUUGCACUAAUAGUGUUCGUUGUGUACCAACUUCUGCGUCGUAAAUUGAUAACGUACUUUUAUUUAUCGAUAGAACAAAUCAAAUCAUGGACCACCGAGGGCACAAAGACUUUGUACAGAAAGGGGUCGGAGAAACUUUUCUUUACGUCGGAUUCUUUCCUUUUCUAUCGUAUCGUCUUGUAAACUUUUCAUCAGUAUUUGAUCAGAGUUUUAUUUAAUUUACAUAAGAUAAAAAAUGAGUAAAAUAUAUUAAAGGAAACAGUUUUAGGAUUGAUUGAUUUGAAUAUGAUUAAUUGGAUCACCUAUUAUGAAAAUCCUAAUAAUUUUAUUUUUAUUUUUUAAUCUUUGAAACGAACUCAUCGCGCGGCCUCUAUACAGUGGUUAUUAAAUAUACAUUUUUCAAGCAGUUUUGAUUUGACCACAUGGUCUCAUUAAACAAAGAUCAAUUUGUGAUCAAAUUAAAGGCUCAAUUAAUUAUACGCAACAACUCUAAAAAUUAUUGGACCACAACAUGAUGGUAGAGUACGUAACAAGCAAAACUAAAUUUUCUUAAUCUAAGAAUCACAUGGGAACAGUACUCUAGCAUCUUCUAUUGACUUAUUAUGUAGGCUUAGAUGUUUCCCAACUUAAAUAUUAAACCCCCGAAAAAAAAAAAAAAAAAACUCAAACUGCUGAUGAAUGUCAACUGUCCUUGUCCCGUACGAAAGUCAAUGGUGUGCAACAAGCAAUGGAGUAAUGGAGUUAGGGGAUGUCAUUGGGUAUGGAUACCUGAAAUAUUAUCCGAAUCCGAACCCGAACGGAACAGGUUUAUCCGAGCUAAACGGGUAUAGAUUCGGUUAUGAAUAUAGAAAAUAAAAAUCCGACGGAUAUGAAUACAGGUAUGGAUUUUGUAUUUAUCCGAACCGAAUCCGAACUCGAACCCGAAUAAAUUAUAUAUACACAUAAUUUAUUUUUAUUUAUUUAUAUAAUAUAUAAAAUAUGUAAUAAUUUUUAUCCUUUAAAUCUUUAUUCAACGGUAUGGAUUUUUAAAAUCAGCCGAGUUUGGGUCCAGGUUCGGGUUUCUGGUUUUUAGUUGGGUACGGAUAUGGAUAUAGAUUUUUAAAAUCCGCCGGGUUCGCGUCCGGAUACGGAUCUUAAUUUGAUUUUCGGAUUCGAGUUCGGAAUUUUAAAAACCCGAUACAAAUCCGGCCUUUUGACAUCACUAGCUAAAUGGAGUUCACUACUUUAAUGGCACGGAUUUUCUGCAACUCUGUUGAUUCUUCUAAAUAAGUAACUAUGCUAGUUUAUUAGUCGUUUAAAAGGUUUGAGUCCAUGGUUUCAGAUGAUGAGACUAAGCAAUGUGUAGAAAUUCUUUACAUAUUAAUUAUAGGAGAAAUGAUUCGGUACUUUUUUUAAAAAAAAAUAAAAAAGAUCUUAACCGUUGAUUAAUAGAGGGUAAAAAUGUAACUUUAAUACUUAGCAGGUAAAAGGAUUAUUUUAUUCAAGGUUAGUUUGGUAAUUAAAUAAUACAAUAUUUAAAGAAUCUUUUAAUUGAGGUCCUAAAUUUAUGCAUUAAUUAGUACUAAUUUAGGAAAUUAAUUGAUUAACCAAAUUUAUGAAAUUAUUAGGUAUUAAUUUAGGAAUCUACUUUAAAUGUUUUAGUGUUUCUCAAAUUAUGCAUUAAUUUAAAUUAUAGAAAUUUUAGAAAUAGUUUUAUUUCUAAAUACGAUGAAUUUAAAUUUUAAAAAUUAAAUACUUAGAAUUUAAAAGUGAAAUUUAAAUUAGAGAAAUUUCAUAUUACUAUUUAAAAACUAAAUUUUUACCAAGAUUUAAAAUACAGUUUAUUCGCAUCAGUUUAAAACGUAAUGCAUAAAAAACUUAGAGAGUAAGAUUUCUACAACUAGAUUUCUCUAGAGGAAUUUUAUAUUACUAUUUAAAUUUUAAAUUCAAUGAUUUAAAAACUAGAUUGAACCGAUUGAUUUGACUGAUCAGACUUUGACCUAUUCUAUCAAGAAUCUGAUUUUAACCUAUUGAACCGAAUAACAUUAAGAACAAUUUGGAACCGGUAAAAAUAAUAAAUAUUUUAAACAGAAUAAUAAUUUAACUAUUAGAGCUAAUAAAUAUUUUAAAUAUAAUUUUAAACAUAUAAAUUAAAAAGAUUAGAAUUAUUGGUGAGAAAAAAAAUAGUUAGGAAUUUGAAUUCGANNNNNNNNNNNNNNNNNNNNNNNGUGUGUGUGUGUGUGUGUGUGUGUGUGUGUGUGUGUGUGUGUGUGUGUGUGUGUGGUUAUAAUGGUGGAUCGUGGAGAGGGUUGGUUUCGUCGCAAACCGGCAACCAAAUCGGAUGAAACGAAAUGAUAGAUUCGAUGCCCCAAUCGUGCUGAACGCGUUGGCGCAAUCUGAUCGAAAAUCCGAUAUACAGAUCUCUGAGAACCACGUAAAGUUCGCUGAGGGGUCGAAGUUGGCAAAAUGGAAAAUCUAUGAAAAGCCCAAUAUUUUAUGUAAUACACUGGACCCUUGCAAAUUGCGAGGUUCGAGUGAUUGGAUGUGUUUCGAGCUUUUCCAUACUUGGUGGAGGGUUGUAGAAUGUUUUCCGACCUAAUAAGUUCGAAAACCUGAGUUCUGGACGAGUCCUGAGAGUUUUUGCUCUCGGGGACCAGUCCCUGAAAGGAGAGACCGGUCCCCCAGUGAGCAGUGUUGCACAGCCGGCGAGGCAACCGAUCCCGCGCAGGGAGAGACCGGUUCCCGAACGAUGGUUUUUCGGGUUCGACACGAGAGACCGGUCCCUCUAGGCGAAAAUUGCCCAGACCAGGCUGAUGCAAUAUUGGAUUUUUGAGGGGCCUCGUUGGAUUUUGUUACACUAGAGGGCAUAUAUGCCUACUUCCUCUUCUCUUCUCCCUCAUUCCACCAUUCCCUUUGCUCCUAGAGAGAGAGGAAGAAGAAGGAGAGGAAGAAGAAGAAGGAGAGAGCUUGUUGAAGGCUUGGAACUUCACCCACACCCUCCCUUCUUCCUUUUGGUGGCUUGGAGCUUGGAUUUGGAGCAUUGUUGAGGAAAGAUCUUGGAACCUUGAGGGUUUUGAACCUUGAUUAAAGCUUCUAAGAGGUAAGCAACUUGUUUUUUCUCCAAGAUUUCUUGGUUUGAAGGUUUUUAGUAGAUGGAACCCUAGAAUGGAAAUUUAGGGUUGAUUUUGGGGUUUUUUUAUUUAGGGCUUUUGAGGCUAAAUUUCUUGGAUUAGAACCUUCCUUUGGGUUAGAUUGGAAGGAUCCUAGCCUUCUUUUGGAGCUUGAGGAAGAUUUUUUACUCCCUAGGUGAGUUUUGCCCUUUUCUUGAGAUUGUUAAUGUUUGAGCCUAGAGUUGCUCGUAACGCUUGUGUAUCUCUUCGCUCAUUACUUUUAGGGUAUUUUGAGACUUGUGGACAACUCCGUUCGGCGAAACGAAGGACACCGCGACGGUUCGGUGGGUUUGACCUAGCCUUGCAUAUGAGAAAUUCUCAUAUCCCAUGUUUUAUGCUUGUAGAGUAAAAAUUCAUGCAUUUCCAUGAUAAAUGUAUUUAUUGUGAAUUUUAGGAUGCUUAACAUACCUAUAUUAUGUGUAAGAAAUUUCGGGCCCCUAUAUAGUAGAGAGCUACCUUGUGGGACUUGUACGUGAUUGGCAUCCUAUUGGGACUUGGAAUUAUAUUUCCUAUUGUGAAAAUGAGCAUUACCUUCAUGCAUUUUAAACUAUUCCUACUUGAGACUUAAGAGACCUUAGUAAGCCAUAAAGAGGCUCGGGGACAUGUACUACUCGCGAAUAAUUGGGCUAAUGUAAUAGAGGGGCAUUGAGCUCGGGUUAAAUGAGAACCUAGUGCUAAUGUCAUGAAUGGAACAUAGGCUAUGAAAUGUGUUAACUUAUAACAAGCUUGAGUGUCAUAAAGAGGCACUAAGCCUAGUGAGUGUUGGAACAUCCCUUUGAGAUGCUAGUGACUAUUACCAUCAUAGAGACAUGAUGAUUGGGUACUUGAGACGAUGAUUGCGCUUGUUUGCCAUUUGUGCUCAUUCGCACAUGCUUGUGAGGGUCGCUCCCUACAAGCUGGCACUCCGGAGUUGGCCUAUGCGAUUUAUGUUCGCUCGUGCGGUAUCGAGAAACCUACGGGAUCGGGAGGGAUAGACUCAUUCCUAGAGUGGGAAUGCUGGAGCUACCACCGACACUUAGGUGGCACAAGCUGGACUGCAAUAUGUAGGUCCUAGAACAUGUUGGAAACAGUGACAUUUAAUCGAGAGAUGAUAAUCAUUACUAGAUAGGCUUAGUAGUUGGAUUACCUUGACAUGCUUAGAGCAUGGUGUUGGGACUUGUAGUAUACAUGAUAGUCUUAUUCGUUGCAUCACAGUAUACUUUGCUACCAUGAUAGAGCAUAUUCAUCAUACAUUGACAUAGCGAUUCAUGAUACCUACUUGCUCGUUAUAUUGGGACAUAUUAGUCAUGCUUGGACAUACUUCAUUUUGAGAAAGUAGAUGUACGAUACAUUUGACAUCAUGUUACUUGCGACAUAGUAGUUUAGCAAUUUAAUCAUGCUUCCUUAUAUGUAAACCAUUUAUUAUUAUUGUUUCCUUGUGGACUUACCCUUUUCUUUUGGGGCCUAGUGGUGCAUUGAGCUGAGGUCAGUAAUUGCCCACUGGGAACUAUAAAUUAUAGUUCUCACGCCCUCUUUUUCUUGAUGUUAUUUCAGAGCCUUCGGCACCGGUGGAGGCGCGGGAUCGUGGCAAAGGAGUCGCGUAGCUAGCUAGCUGGGAGCUACUUGUGAGCAUAGAUGGUUUAUCUUUUUGUUUGAGAGUGUGUGUGGGAGAUUUUGAGAACCAUGUAUAGAGAGACCACCUGUAUACUCUUUAUUGUUUAGUUCUUGUAUUUGGGAUUUUCUUUGUACUACUCUAUGCCUGUAUUUGUAGUUUCAGUUUCAUGUCUACUCUUCUGUGUAGAACUUAGUUAUUUACUUCGCUCUGAUAUCGUUAAAUUCUUUUGCUUCUUAUUUUAUUUCCGCUAUUGUUGUAGACGCCUUAUAUGUGUAGACAUAUGGCGGGUCUGGGCGCGCUACCGGGAGAGCCUCUGCCGGUCCCGAGGCGUUACAUUUUAUAUACCAUUUUGCGCGAUUUCGAACAUUGAGGUGCUUACGCGUGAAAUGCACGCGCUGCGGGGGACUGGAUUGAAAAUAGUCAGCUUCGGAAGGUUUCUCUGCGAUUAUUACACCUUAUAUAAAUAUAGGUGUUAGGGUUUCAUGUAGGAAACCCUAACCCUAGCUAACCUACUUCCUCCAGCUGCGCCCCUGUAGCCUCCACCACCUUCCAGCACCCCGCCGCACGCACUCCGGCCGCCGACGACCUUCUACGGCCACCAACAACCUUCUCUGGCCACCGGAGAGGGCUAUCAUUGCCUUCUCCCUCCGCCUUGCCUCCACCACCUCAACCGUCUACGGCCACCAACAACCUUCUCUGGCCACCGGAGAGGGCUAUCAUUGCCUUCUCCCUCCGCCUUGCCUCCACCACCUCAACCGACAACCGCAGGGAAACACCCACACGCAUCGAACCUUCAUUCCCUCGGCCGAGACCUACUCCCUGGCACCGACUCCACCGGCCCCCGCCGCCCGCACGCGCCGCUGGCGCCGCCUGAGUCAUUCACGACCACCCGCAGCAGCUCGGGCCGAGCUCGAGUUAGCUCGCGGCCAUGAGCUACUGCCAUUUUGAGGCGAGCUGCCCUGCCCUCCUAGGUCUCCGGCGACCCUCCACUCGUUGCUGCCACCGCCAUCCCCACGGGCUCCUGACCACCGCCCAGCUCCCUACGACCGCCUAGACUUAACUCGGGCCGAGCCUGGGCCAGCACUAUCUCCGCGCGCCACGGCCGCCCACCGACGGGCGAGCCGCUCUCCCUCGGCCUCCGGUGACCGAUCACCGUCGCCCCGGCUCUCCCCCGGCCGCCGUGCUCCUCGAACCCGAACACUAGCCAUGCGGGCUCGUGCCUUGCCACCACGCCACCGACCGCCUCCCGCCAUUGGCCAAUGCGAGUCCCAACCCCCACUGACCAGCCGCACCCGCCUCUGGCCGGCCCGCCCGCCGCCUAGCCGCCGCCGGCCGUCCCGUGCCUUACUUUGCUCCAGUAAGGCAGUUUAUGGUUUCUGUACACUAUUUCGGGUUCCAGUCGCCUUUCCGGCGAUUCGAGGACACCCCGGCACUCUCGGAAGUGAGCACGAUGAUCCCAGAUCUGUGUUGAACAUCGUGCUCACCGUUGGGGUCAACAAUGCCCCGGUUUGCGUGUUAGACGCGAUGUAGGCGCUGUGUGCGCUGUUUUGCUGAAAUUCGCGUCGCUCACGCACUUGCCACAGUGGCCGGCCGUGCUACGAAGUGUGAGCACAGUCUCCGGUACAUCGAGACCUGUCAGCGGGUGUCUCGGCCAGGCUAGAAGAUCCUUGGUUUGCAUUGUCGGGCCAUAAAACUCCAAAAAUCACAUAAAAUAAUGUGAUUUUAUGUAGUCGCGGGGGUUUUUAUGCAAUUGUAUGUUUUGUGGUUACUGUUGGCAGCGUGUGUGGGCAUCGGGUGACCUCUAGACUUGUUGUCCAAGGCCCAGGCUUUUUCAGAAAUCGAAUGUUGAUUUUCAGUGAGUUUUUCGGUGAAAUCUGCCGACGAAACGCGAUUUCGAUUGGGAAUUCUUCCGACGAUGCCUCACGGUAGAUUGUGUUGUCGUUGAGCCUUGUUGGCUGGUCACCCGCAUCGUUUCAAGGGUUCGAAAAUGGCAGGUGAGCGACGGCGGGUUCCGGUGUCGAAUUGGACACUUUUGGGACCCGGAUCGGAAUGAUUAUCCGACGAUAAUCGUUUCAAAGUGAGGAGGUGUGUUCACUGCCAAGUCACACAAAAAGUUGAGUUAGUGGCAGCGGGUGACUCGUAGCAUGAGUCGGUGAGUUCCGGGACAGUUCGUGGGUCCCGGCGGAGUCCUAGUGCGAUUUUCGAGACUUCCAACGUAUUACGGCAAUCGGUUUGGGAAACCGAUUCCCGUGGGUUUACAUGUGGGGAUUGUGAGUUAGUGGUUCAUUUUUGUAGAUGCUAACCCGAUGAAUCCUUCAUAGGUCCAGUUGAUACUUCCUCCAUAGUCGGAAGGCCAGUACCAUAUACGUACAGGGGGGUACUUCGACCUGAUGUCGGUAAAAUGGUGCACGCUCAGUGACAUUUCCUUCACGCUUUUCUUGUGUUUAUCUUGCAUAUUAUAUGUUGAGCCUAGCACCUAUACCAUAUCUCUUUAUUGCUCUACUUAGUUGGUUGUAUACCCAGUAUUAUAUUUUAGAAGUAAAGCGGUUUUGUGAUUAUUUAUGAGAUUGAUGACCUAGUCGGUCAGUACGUUACAUCUCGUAUAUGUGACCUAUUCGGUCGGUUUACUACAUCUGUUAUUGUGACCUACUUGGUCGGUUAGAUUACUUGGUGACCUAUACGGUCGGUAUACCCUGAGGGGUAGGAUUGUGGGCUAGUUGCCGACGGUUGACUAUUGCGCAUAUCAGCAUUGAUCGCCCGAUACUCGUACGCAUUUCACGAACACCAGCGGUCUGAUCUACCGCAAGAGAGUAUUUUUUUUUUCCGGAAAUGUGGUUGGAGGUGCCAACCCAUGAGCCCAUAGGCUACCUUGGGUUAUAUGCAAGUAGAGUGAUAGCAGCACAAGCUUGAGGUUUGCGGUGCAAACCAAAAGGGCACAGCUUGAAGUCUGCGGUGCGGACCAACAGAGCACAGGUUUCAAAUUGGGUAUUUUUAGACUUGUGGUCCGGUUGAUACAUACAUACAGUUGCAGUAGUUGUUCAUAUAUAUAUAUAUAUAUAUCGUUCGUUUAUUAUCGUUGCUACUGUACUAUCCUUACCCAUGCCUUUAUUUAUUCUCCUUGACUGGUGAGUACCCCUCGCCUUCGUCGACUUGCGGUACCUACUGGGAGGGGAGACAUGUGUACAUGUUCUCACCCCCCACCCCCAUUACAGGUGACGUCGCGGGUCCUAGUGGGAUGGUUUAUGAGGAGCGCACUUAGCGAUUCGAUAGAGCUUUCGGACCCGUCUCUUCGGUUUAAUUCUUAAACUCAGAUUCUUUUAAAUAAAUGAUUUAGUAAUUAUGGUUCAGUGAUCUAUUACUUUUGGAUUCAUCUGGUUUUAUGAAUGUAAUAAAAGAUUUAUGAUUCUUGCAAAAAUGAAAAUAAUUUUCUUCCCCUCGUGGCAGCGAGUUUUAAAGAAAAAGGGUUUUCGUGUGGGAAACAGUUUUAGAAAGAUUUUCUUGGUUUUCAUGACCUAGUGUUUUAAAACGAGUUUACGGAAAGGAAACAUUUUAACUGAUAGAUGUGGAUUUAUGGAUAAUUUAUGAUAAUAUAACUGUGGAUGUGAAUGGUGUAUGAAUAUGUGGAUGUUCAUAUGUGUGGUUGUAUUUUGUAUCGUGAAUCUUGUAUCUUGUACUUGUGCGACGCCGUGCAAAUACAGGGGAGACUCUGUCCGUGUGAACAGUGGACUCCCUAUAUUUGUGGCGGUUCUGGCAUACCCUGGGGGUCAGAUUUUUCAAAAAAAAAGAAAAUUUGGGCUCUUCCGCAUCUCUUUUAAAUCAAAAAAAGGGACCCCGGGGCGUGACACAAAAACACAAAAACGUGGCAACAAAGUUUGCAAGCCGAAGUAAGACAGCAUUAUGAGGAAGCAAAAGGGAUGAAACCGAAUGUGUGGAAACGACCUUAUGAGCAACAACUCCCCUUUCGACCCAUGAAGAAUGAUCAUGAGGCAGGUGGUUCUACACCUGUCCCUUGGUUGAAAUCCAAAAUAGAAUAGCCACUCCCGGCCGAACCUGAGAAGAAAGCAACUCGAAAGGAGUUGGAGGAAAAAAUAGCCUCUUUGAAGACUAUAAUCAAACAAGACCGACGGCAUCCUAAGAGGAGAGAGGCACGCAUAGAGAGCGAUUCCUCAGCCGAAACGGCAAAGGAAUCAGAAGAGAAAAAGCAAAAGAUAAAAGAAAAUUUGGCUGGUGAAGGACAAGCCGAUGUGAACAUAGUGUACACACUGCCUCAGUCAUUCAAGAUAGAGUCCGUUGAAUUUGAAGAGACGGCAUAUGAUGGAGAAGAGCUUACAGUGGCUCAACUCCAGUUAGAGGACGCUAAGCCAGCCGAUUCGAUGGCUUUUGAAAAACCAUCAAUCAUGCAGACAAGAUUCGUUAGGCCAUUGUUCAUAAGGGUGCUAAUAGAAGGACGGCUAGUAGGCCGAGUGAUGGUAGAUGGAGGAGUAAUGGUCAAUGUUAUGCCUACUUUUUCUUCAAGAAGCUGGGCAAGAGUGAAGAUGAACUGAAGCCUACCAACACAAUCAUGACCGACUUCACUGGUAGUGGUCAACAAACAAGAGGUACACUUACGACCGAGCUCACGAUAGGAUCUAACACCUUGCGAACAGCCUUUUUUGUAGUGGAUGCAGAUAGCCACUACAACCUAUUGCUUGGGCAUGAUUGGAUUCAUGCAAAUGAAUGCGUACCUUCAACGCUCCACAAAAAAUUAUUUCAAUGGAUUGGAGACAGAGUGGAGGAAAUUAGGGCCGAAGGCCGCCCCCAAAUGGUGAAUGUGAACUCAGAAGGAAUCGGUCAUAUCAAUUGGGGCCGAUACAGAUCCGGAUCAAAUUUUCUUUGUGCGGGUAACCGAGGAAGGAGUUCAACUAAUACUCGUGAAAGAUGAGGAAGCGAUGGUGGCGGCAGAGGAGCCACCAAGUUGGUUAAAAUGGAAUGCCAAAAGUUAGGAACCGGAGCUUUAGAAAAGCUACGGCAGAAUGAGCCGACCGAAGAAGUCGGCUAUUGCACUAAAUCAGCUUAUCAAGCCGAUGAAAUAGUAUACAUCAAAAUGGCCGAGUUGACUGAAGAGAAUUCUCUUAGAAAAUCAGCCGGGAGGGCCAAUAAAGAAGUAUUUAAUGAAUCGUCAAAUGUGAUAGCCAAAUUUAGUGAAAACGGCUUCAAAAUCCAUAACGUUAUGGAGGAAUCACCAAUCAAAGUCGGCGACAAGAAGUUACAGACCCAAGAUCCAUUAAUAGAAGUAAAUUUGGGGUCGGAUGAUGACAAACGGCCGAUGUACGUCAGUGCUAAACUUUCAGCUCAACAACAGGAGAAGUUGACGAACUUGCUGAUGAAGCAUAAAGACUACUUCGCCUGGAGUUACGAGAAGAUGUCGGGUUUGAGCCGAGAAAUUGUAGAGCAUAAGCUCCCUAUUAAAAAAGGGCAUAGGCCUUACAAAUAACCGGCUCGUAAAUUUAAGCCGAGUAUUGAACUCUAAAUUAAAAAUGAAAUUAAAAAUUUGCUAAAGGCCGGCUUUAUUAGAGCGGCCCGUUAUGUUGAUUGGGUAUUUAACAUAGUUCUAGUACAAAAAAAAGAAUGACAAACUUAGAGUUUGUAUUGAUUUUAGAAACUUAAAUAUGACUACGCUUAAAGAUGAAUAUCCGAUGCCCAUAGCCGGUAUGUUAGUAGAUUCGGCAGCCGAGCAUAAAAUUCUAUCCUUUAUGGAUGGACAUGCAGGCUAUAAUCGAAUUUUUAUUGCCGAAGAAAAUGUAGCUAAAAUGGCUUUUAGGUGCCCAUGAUCUAUUGGGACCUUCGAAUGGAUAGUAAUGUCGUUCGGCUUAAAAAAUGCAGGAGCUACUUACCAAAGACCAAUGAAUUUUAUUUUUCACUAUUUGAUCGGCAAAAUAUUGGAAGUUUGCAUCAAUGACAUCAUUAUAAAGUCAAAAUCACAAGCUGAUCAUUGAGCAGAUUUUGAACUUGCCUUUGAAAGAAUGAGAAAAUAUAAUUUAAAAAUGAAUCCAUUAAAGUGUGCUUUUGGAGUAUCAGCGAAAAAUUUCCUCAGAUUCCUAGUACACAAAAAGGGGAUUGAGAUUGAUAAAAACAAGGUGAAAGCAAUAAUGGAAUUACUGCAGCCAAAAAAUAAAAAGGAGUUACAAAGUUUAUUAGAAAAAAUCAAUUAUUUGCGUCAUUUUAUUUCAAAUUUAGCCAGCAGAAUAGGAGUUUUUUUACUCCAUUAUUUCGGCUGAAAAAUCAGGAAGAUUCAUUUGGACAGAGGAACAGCAAGAAACGUUCGAAAACAUAAAAAGGUAUUUAGCGAAUCCUCCAGUUCUCAUGUCUUCUCGUCAAGGUCAGCCGAUGAAGUUAUAUAUAUCGACUGCAGAAGAAAAUUUAGGAUGUUUAUUGGCCCAGGAAAAUUAUAAAAAAGAAGAACAAGCUAUCUAUUAUCUCAGCGUUACGCAUGUACUAAAUUGAGAUAUUAUAUUCUACCAAUGGAAGUGUCAGUGGUCUGUAAAACUGAUAUGGUAAAAUAUAUGUUAUCAAGAGUGAGGCUACUAUACUAUCGGAAGCACGGAGCCUUCCGUGCUUCCAGCUCGUUUUCGAUGUUGCGACUUUCGAAUCGUCGAUCGGCUCCAUUAACUUGAUCUAGAGUAUUUGGAGUACCUAGAAAAUAAAUUUUAUUAUUUUUCUAUAUCAUUUGUCUAGUGAUCAAAUGGGCUCAAAAUCAACAAAUUUCAAUGGCCGUAGUGAGCCGUUUGCAAGUUUAACGGUGUAGAAAUAUCCAAAUCACAUGAAAUUUUGAUAGAAAAUUCUUUAUACUAUAUAAAACAAGAUCAAUAUCUUUGAUUUAAAAUUUUAAUGUCAUAUUAUUACAUUUUGUAAGAUUUUUAUUUUCAGCCGUUGAUUUUGAGCCCCUUCGUUCACUAGGCAAAUAAUAUCAUAAAAUCAUAAAAUUUAUUUUCUAGGUACUUCAAAUACUCUAGAUCAAGUUUAACGGAGCCGAUCGACGAUUCGAAAGUCACAACAUCGAAAACGAGCUGGAAGCACGGAAGGCUCCGUGCUUCCGAUAGCAUAGUAGCCUCACUCUGUUAUCAAAACUUGUUUUGAGAGGACGAAUCGGGCAAUGGAUGUUAGCAUUGUCUGAAUUUUCUCUUAGUUAUGUUCUGGCAAAAGCCGUCAAGAGGCAAACGAUAGCCGAUUUCUUGGCUGAUCAUCCUUAUGUCAAGGUUAAAGAGCCGAAACAAAAUCUAAUCGGUUGUCAAUCUUGGACACUUUAUUUCGAGGUUCGAAAACAGCUGAGUCCGCGAGAGCCAGAGUAGUUAUACAAUCUCCCGAAGGCUAUAUUCAUCAGUUCGCUUUUGUAUUAGAUUUCGGCUACUCUAACAAUUAAACCGAAUAUGAGGCCUUAAUAAUUGGCCUUGAAAUUCUACAAGAAUUAGAGGUAUGCUCACUCAAAGUUAUCGGCGAUUCACAAUUAAUGAUCAAAUAAGUAAAUGGAAAAUACCGAUGUGAAAAUCGAAACUUGCAGAAUUACUUGAAGAGAACAAUAGAAUUAUUUCGCAAUUUUGGAGAAAUUAAGUUUGUACACCUAACAAGAGAAGAGAAUGAACAAGCUAAUGAGUUGGCUCAAUCGACUUCAGGGUACAAAGAGCCGAAACAAGAUCAAGUGUAAAUAGAGAGAAGAUUAUUGCCAUCGGUUCAUGUACGAGAACCGAUGAUGAUUGCUCCUGUUGAAACUGAGAAAGAUUGGAGAAAAUCUUAAUCGAAUUUUUGGAAGACCCUAAUAAACGGGUCGAAUAUCAUGUUCGAAAAAAGGCACUCGACUAUUGUCUAUUAAAUGGGCAGCUCUAUAGGAGAGCAGCCGAAGAGGUGUUAUUAAAGUGUUUAGACCUGAAGAAGCCUUAUUGAUUAUGGGUGAAACCCACAAGGGUUUAUGCGGAGCUCACUUAGCAGGAAAAGGAUUAAGAUGAACAAUUCGACACUUGGAGUAUUAUUGGCUGACUAUGCAUCAAGAUUGCAUAUAAUAUGCCAAAGGAUGUCUAGAGUGUCAGUUUCACAGCUCUAUGCAAAGGGUCCCUGCUUCUAAGAUGUAUACAAUAAUUAAACCUUGGCUUUUCCGAGGAUGGGCCAUGGAUUUAAUUGAAGAAAUUCAGUCGAAUUUUUUGGCUAGUCAUAAGUUUCUAAUAGUAACUGUUGAUUAUUUUACCAAGUGGGUAGAAAUAAAACCAACUAAAUUUCGUAGAGGAUUCUAUAAUCCAUCAUUUUGGAAUUCUCGAAACGAUUACAACUGAUCAAGGGACAAUGUUUACCGGGGAAUAAUUCACUCGGUUCAUUGAAUCAAGGAAAAUUAAGCUGCUUCAUUCAUCACCUUACUACGUUCAAGCAAAUGGGCAAGCCGAAGUGGCAAAUAAAGUUAUUAUAAAUCUUAUGAAACAGCACGUUGGAAGACACCCAAGAAAAUGAAAUGAAAAGCUUUCUGAAGUAUUAGGAAUGAUACCGUUUCAGUUAGUCUAUAGUCAUAAGGUCGUAGUUCCAGCCGAAAUAACAAUUCCUUCUUUACGGGUAGAAAGACAAAAAGAACUAACGGCAAAUAAAUACAAGACUUUGAUGAAUGAAGGGUUAGCAGUAACCAAUGAGACUCGGUUAUUAGCCUCAAUCACUUGCAAGCUUAUCAGACCUGAGUACGAAAUGCGUAUAACAAGAGAGUUAAAGCUAAGUCUUUCUCUGUUGGGGACUUAGUUUUAAGAUUAAUAUUUUCAAUCGGUCGAAAAGACCGAGUGUAUGAAAAAUGGUCCCCAAAUUGGGAAGGACCAUUUCAAGUUUACAGAAUCAUAAGACGUAAUGCAUAUUAUUUAAAAAAUAUAGAUGGGUCAAAGCAUAAUAAACCAAUCAACGAAAAAUAUUUGAGAAAGUAUUACCCAUCCAUAUGGGAAAGGGGAUAAAAGUCAGAGUCAAAGACAUUAAAAUAUAUUACAGCCGACAGCCGAAUCAAAGUAAAAUAUAGAAUUAAGAUAAUAGGUCUUUAAGUUGAUUCCAUUCGGCUUCCAAAUGUGCUUGUGCUAUAUCGGCUGCUCGCUUCCUGCGCUUCAUCAAGGGAUGCAGCUUAUAAAGUUGGGAGAGACGGUCUUGAAGCUUCACCCCUUCAUUUUUCUUGACUUUCAAUUGGUCCUAUAAUAGGGUCUAUCGCUCUGAAGUGUGGGCCAAAGCUGAUUCGGCUGCAGUCAGUUUUUCUUUGAGAGUAGAAUGUGCUGCCGAAGGGCUGAUUCUUGAUUCUCUAAAGACUUGUCUUCUUGGCUCAGGUCGGUAAUCGGAGUUGCCACUUCAGGGAUUUUCAUUUUGAAAUGACCGACCUGAUUAAAAUGAUGAUCUAAAGACAGGAACUUGGCAGAAGAAUUUGUUGCCGUGUUAAAAAGGAAAAAAGAUGAGUUGAUAAGGUUUCAACGAAGCAUUUACUUACAACAGGAAGAUCCGGCUGGUCUAUAAGGGCGAGGAGGAGAGCGCCAAGCUGAUCAAAUUGUUCCAUGUUCUGAGCCAGAGUAGGGAGACCACUACCAUAAAGUCUUAAACAUUCAUCCAUUUUUCGUUGAGUUUCAGCCAAUAUGGUAGAAGAAUGAUCGUCUCCUUCUUCAUUUGAUUUUGGGCUCAAGGCGGCCAAAUCUUGAAGAGAAAUGGCCAAAGGAUCCACCGAUUCAAAUACCGACAAAGAAGUCGAUGCAGAAACUUCAGGAAGGAUGUCAACGGGGAUGUCCACAUCCACUGCUAUUCGAGUACUUUCUUUCCCUUGUUCUACUUUUCAUUCUGUUGAUGCGGUUUGGUGCUCUGCUUCUUUUGUUUCUCCCUAUCCUUCCCCACUCUUUUUUCGGCUAUCUUCUUCCCUGUCAUUCUUUUCAGCCUCUUGAUAUUGUUCUCUUUUUUCCUCUACUCGAGUACUCUUCUUCUUCUUUUCCUUCCUCUUAUCUCCUUCGGCUAUCUGCUCUGCUUCCAUUCCCAUUUUCUCUGCUUUGAGUUUUUUAUCCAGGCGAGCUUCAUGGCGGGCCUGCCGCCCGAUGUCAGACAUUACCCGCUCCAAAGAUGAAGUGAAGCGACCAUGAGAAACCCUUUGCGAUGAGGUCUAUUUGAUUGAAGACAGUGGAAGUGAUCCGACUGAAGAAUGGGAAGAAGAAUAAUCGAUGGGAAUAGGCUGAGGAGUUACCUCAGCAGAAAUUGGAUCGAUAGGAGUUGAUUGAACUGAUUUUUUCCCUUCGGCUGAAACCUCAGCCUGUGGAAGUUCUGCCGAAGUUUUUUCGACAGGUGUUGGUGGAGGAGCAGAACGGAUUUUAAUUGCAACAGUCUUACGCUGCUUCUAUUGCGGCGGCUGAGUAGACUGUUCAGAGUCCAUCGAUCGUUUAUCGGAUUGCGGAGCCGAUGAAGUUGAAGCAGGAAUCGGCUAAAAUAAGACGUAUUAGACAAAAUAAUUACAUAGAAAAAGAAAAUACAAUAAAAAGUUAAGCUUACCGUAGGUGGAUGAUGCGAAUCCAUAGAAUCUUCAUCUGAAACAUCUUCUGGAGGAAUGGGUAAAGGUUUGUUACCUGAAAGACCAGAAAUAAAUAAAGGGAGUCAGAAGAAAGAAAGAGAAGGAGAUAAAAUUGCAAUAAUUAAAAGACAACGUACCUUCUGUAUGAAAAUCUUGGCAAAAAUAGGGGUCAUAAUAUAGUAAAAAUAUUGUUGGCAAAAAGUGCUCCAACUCCGAGUAAAGCGAAAGUCUAGCACUCCUGCAUGGUUAGGCCGAAAGCUCACAAGUUUGAAGAAUCGUUGCAGAUGAUUUCCCAAGGCCGAAAUGCGAUCAGCUUCAGCAUUACUUUUUGAAAGAGGACGGCCACGAGCAGUGUUGGCCGUAAAGAAUUUAGAUCGAGCCGGAAGUCCCUGAACCAAACCAAAUUGACGUGCCACAUAGUGAGGAGAAUACACCUCUGUGCUUGGCAUCAAAUUAGACCGAUUCUUUAAGCCGAAAUGUAAAUCUCUGGUAGCCAAAAUGGAGAACCACACAUCGGCAUACUCACUAGCUUGAGAAGAGGCUAACUGAUCUUGAAUAGCCUCGAAUCGAGUAAGAAGCCAAGGGGGACCUGUAGUGCGUUCCCCAAAUGGGGAUCGGAUGACAUGAAAGCGAAAGUCCUUCUCAUAAAAUACUUUGAAAUUACAAGAAAAAUAGAUCGGUUGACCAAGGGUUAAAGGCUCAUAACAACCAAAAGCCAAACCAAAAGUGUUAAAAUGAGAAGCUGAAUCCAAAUCUAAAGAAGUUUGGCACAAAUAAGAAAAAUAAAUUUGCAGACACAUCUGUAGGAACCACAAAACACCACAUUCAGAACUAAUAACCACGCCACCUAAUGGCAAUAGUUUGAUAGAUUCAAAGAUCUCCUUAUAAACGAAAGGAAGAAAAUAAGUAUCCAAAGCUAACUUUUUGCCGUUGGCUAGAGCAACAGUGAUAGGGACGAAAUCGCGAUUAAUCUUCUGCGAACGAGUGCAGAAAAGGUUAUGACAUAACCAGUAAGAAGGAAGGCUGUAUGUUCCUUCUUAAAGACAGAGGUAGAGGAUUGACUAGCAAACCGACGAAUGAACUUAGUAUAAGCCAGGUCAGCUAAGUCAAGAUGGGCCUCAAAAUCAGUUACGCCAUCAGGGUUGUAGACCAUAGAAAGAGUAAUACCGUGAGGGCGUAGGCCGACAAUUGCCGCCAUAUCGAGAAGAGUAGGGGUAAAGGGUCCAGCUCUAAAAAAAAAGACGUUGGAAAUAGGGGACCAAAAAUAGAGCCGCGACCAGAAAAAGGUUAUCGGCUAUAGGAGGAGUCCUGGAAAGCUAGAUAGCUUCAUAAAUCCCAACCUCACGCCAGAGGUCGGCAUAUGCCGCCUCUACGCGGUCUAACCAGGCGAGGUAAACUUCCGAAACACUUAGCCAAGUUCGAAGACUCUUUUCAAAUGAUUUUGAAGUCGCUGAAAUAUAACAAGAAGAGAGAUGAAUGGCAUCAGCCAUUAGAAGGAGACCUUCAACCGAAAAGGAGAAAUCCUUAUGAACAGGGUCAUCAAUGAAUGAAGGCCCUAAAACAAAUCGAGAAGGGUCCGAGUGGACGAAUUGUCGAAGUAAGGUAUAAUCGAGAGAAGGAGAAGACGAAAGAGGCGAAAGCGGUGCCAUCCCAGAAAAAUCAAAGGAAAUGGUGAAAGAAAGACCCUAAAAGAUCAAAGACGAGAAAAGCGAGGAUGAAGAAGACGAAAGCCUCAAGCGAAGAAAGAAAAGGAAACAUAGAGAGAAAGAAAACAAGAAAGAGAAAAGGGAGAGAAAAGUCGUCGGAUGGAAUUCCGAAGCUUGCUUUAAUGAUGAAGAGACAGCAGUAAUAAAUGUGACCUAAUUAAUGUCGCAUAUAAGACAAAAUGGAAUGUGGGAGAUCGUGGCCAUCGAAGGUGAAAGGGCGGCUGAGAGAGAAAUCGUACGGGGCAAUUCAAAAUCAUAAUUUUGAAACUCGCGCCUUUGGAAAAGAUUACACCAGCUACCGAAUCGUCUGUUCGGAAGCUGCCGAGGGGGCAAUUGUUAGGGCCAAUAAUAAAAUGCCACGUGACGGGUUGGUGCACAAUUCAGCGGGGAGCUAUGAUUAAAUAGCAUUUGGUGCACCGGGAGUAGAAAAGAAAAGGGAGUCACAGCAUAACCGCAAGCGAUUUUGAGCAGUUAGGAUCGGCUCGUAGUAUCCCACGAAAACAGGAGAGAGGCUGAUCGGCUCGGAGCGAUUUUGAGCAGUUAGGAUCGGCUCGUAGUGUCCCACGAAAUAGGCGAGUAACGUCGAAGGAGUGGUCUUUUUCCUGCCUAAAGAAGCCCACUUUUCAACUUCUCUGCAUUUUCUUGCAUUUUUAGGAGUAGUUCUACUUAUAAUCUUUUCCUUUCCCGCAUUUACUGUCUUUCUUAGAAGUAGCUUUAGGGUUAGAUUUCUGGAAUCUGUAUGCCCCAUGGGCACACUCUCUUUUGUACACAUUUCUAAAUUUAAUUUCAAUAUAUAUACAGGCAUUCGGCUCUUCAGCCGACCCAAAUUACUGUGUGUUCCGUAUAUUCGGCUCAUUCAGCCGAACCGAUUCUAUAGUAAAGGUCUUCAAACCCGGCUGAUCCGAUCACUCAUCAACUGAAUCGCUUGAUCCGUCGGAAGGCGCAAACUUCGAGGGUCAUCACGUGAAGCAGUACCCAAUUCCUGCACGCUUCCUUAGGGAGAUCUUUGACCAGGUCAAAGUUUGAGGAAUUCUGCUCCUAGCAAUAUCUUUACUAAACCUUUCCAAAGGAGAAAUUUGUAGAACUGCAAGAAAGGCUCGGCUUGGUUUCUCACAAGUUUGCACUAAGGAGGAGUGUUAAAAAUUAGUGCUAAACUUAUUUUUUUUUGUUUUCUUUUGUUUACUAGUUUAAUAAUUAUAUUUAUAGGAGCCCAAUGGUCUAUAUAUUGUUUAAAUGAGCUUCUUUUUUGUUCUUUUUGAGUCAAGUUGACUUGUGACUUAUUUUGGACUAAGUGAGCCAAGUUGGACUAUAUGGGUUUAGUUAGGGGGUCAAAAGAAAAUAAGGUAAGAGGAAAAAAGAGCUUCUUCUCUUUAGCUCCAAAAUUCUCUUGUUUUAGUGUUUCUCUCAAGUACAAGAGAAAUGUGAAAGAGGGUCCAAAUGUGGUUGGGUUUUUGUUAGGUUUGAGGUGGGUGACCUCUAAUCUAUCUCUUUUUCUCUCUUGUGAACAUUCAUUGUAAAGUGUUUUGAUUGAAGGUUUAUUUUGUACUUUUUGUUUUUCAUUGUAUGGUGUUUUGGAUACUAUUGGUGAAAUUGUUUAAUUUCAUAUUUGGAGUUGUUUGAGAUUAUUAUUGUGAGCUUCUAUUUCUAUGUUCUUGUCUUCUUGGGUGAAUAGAAAACUUGAAUUUUCGGUUUCUAUACAUAGGAGGAAAGUGUGCAGUCCGAUUGGAGCUGCUUUUACUUCUCUCUUCAUAUAAUAUUACAAUAGUGAAGGAUUACCUCGAAAAUAUCUUCGAGUGGAGGUGGGUAUCUCGUAUUACUAAUUGUCGGUUAUCUUACAUCAUGUCAUGUAAAUUACAAGUUUAACUCUCCAACCCCCUAAAUUCUUUCGGUACAUCAUUUUUAAAAUUUUAAUUUAAAAUUUUAAAUUAUCAAAUUUAAAAUUUUAAAUCUUAAUUUUGAAUUAAUUUUCAAUUUUCAAUUUUUAAUUUUUAAAAUUUUAAAUUUUUAAAAAUUUAAAUUUUAAACUUUUAAUUUUAAAUUUUAAAUUUCAAAUUUCGAAUGUCAAAUUUUAAAUUUUAAACUAUAAAUUUAUAUUUUAAAUUCUAAAUUUAAAUUUUAAAUUUUAAACUUAAAUUUAUAUUCUAAAUUUUCAAAUUUUAUUUAUAAAUUUCGUAUUUAUAUUUUAAAUUAAAAUAUUAAACUUUAUAUUUUUGUUCAAAUUUAAAAUUUAAAAUAAAAAAUUAAAUUUAAAUUUUGUAUUUUGUAUUUUAUAUUUAUUUAAAUAAAUUUAUUUAAAAAAUUUAUUAUUUGUAAACAGUAAAAAAAUUUACCAAAUAUGAGUAUGGGUAAUUUUGAAAUACACAACGCUUUAUUAUCAAGAUUACUGAUCUUCGUAAACUAAACCAAAUAUAGUAAUUCUAUAUAUACUGUAAUCCAACAUUAUAUUACUACAUUAAACCAAACGCAAUAAUACAGCAUUAGUAGUAAUCUGAUUCAAAAAUCUCAGAUACCUGAUUAUGUUAAAAUAACAUGUAACGUUACAUAACGCGAACCAAAUGCGAGCCGUUUGAUUCACGGCUUGCAAUAUUUUCAGUAAUUUUCUUAUUAAAAAUAUUCAAGUUAUUAAUGUUUAACUAACGUUUAGUAGUUGUAUAAGAUAUUAGUGAUGCAGUAAAAUCAUUGUAGAUUCCUAAGUGACAAGAACACUAGAUUAUUAUUGGUUAUGAGAAAUUCUCAAUUUCAUGAUUGAUAAAAAUAGUCUAUUAAUAAGGAGAUACUAAUUCUUACAGCCUCCUAACUUAAAUGGCUUGAUAAGUUAAUAACAUAUUUACCAUUACAAAUAUUAAAUAUAUAAUAUUUUUAAAAUAUUAUAAAUUCUGAACCGAACGGCUACUAUGUAGUAAAUAGCAUAACAUUUUUAUAUUAUUCUCACUGGUUUAAAUAAUUGAGCAUUCAGAUUGUUGGCGACACUGUUAAAUAUGACUUAAUGAUCUAAAACUUUGUAAAUAAAAUUUCAAAUUGUUUAGGUAAUUUACAAAAUGAUUGAAUAAAAAUUCAAAAUCAAUAUUUUAAAUGGCCAAGACAUUUAUCAAAUAACAAUAUAGAAUAAUAUAAAUUAACUAAAAAUUUAGUUAAAAAUAACUAGAUCACAAUCAAAAACUCUGUUAUUUAAUUUUUUUAAAAUUAAAUCCUCCGCUAGUGUUUUGAAUGUUAUUUGGUUGUGACUGUUUAUUUUAUGGCCACUUAGCAAAGUGUAUUACAAAAUUAUAAAACUUAUUUACCACAUAUUUUAUUAAUUUAGAGCAAAUUUAAGGACAUUGAUUGAAAAUUUAAAUGCUCUGAUCAUCCAAAUAGGGUAGUACAAAAGAUUCGUGUUAUUUAUUGCUUAAUAGCUCCACUCAUCACAAUAAUUAAUAAUAAUAACUCUUAGAUUUGUACCAAUGCAGGGCUAUAUUAAAGGCUUAAAUUACACUUCUCGAACUAUACUGGUAAUAAUUUGAUUCUUAAAUAGUAAUUUAUUAUAAUUUUUAAUUCAAAAUUAAUUAAUUAAAUAUUAACUUACGACUAAUAAAAAAUUAAUAUAAUAUUUUAAUUUUUAUUAUGUCAUCAGGAUGCAAUACUACUAGAUUACAUCAUAUUAAGAGCACAUCAACAAUUAGUCACUAAAAUUCAGUUGUAAAAUUUAAUUACAACAAUUCAAAAUUUUGAAUAUUCAAAUUAAAAUUAUAACGUAUUGUAAUUUAAAAAUUAAAAUAUUAUAUACCUCAUAAUAUGAGCCAAAAAUAUAAUUUACUCUUAAAUUAAGAUAAACUAGUGCAGGGACCGUGCUUCUCAAUGGGUUGUCAAUUAAAAUAUAUAAUUAUUAAAAUUUUACGAUUAAAAAAUUAUUUAGUACAUUAAAAAAAUAAUAUUUUAUUAAUAUUUUCUUAAUUUUUGAAUAGCUAUAUUAUUCUAACAAUUUUAUUUAAAAAUUAAUCAAAUUUAAUAGUUUGAAAAUUGUUUGAUAAAUAACUUUUUUAAUUAAAAAAAUUAAAAAUCUAAAUAUAUCACUUAACUCUACAGAUUUAGUUAGUAUAUAGAUUUAGUUAGUAUAUUUUAUGUGAUUCUUGCAACUAAAUUUCAUAAAAUAUAAAAUUAAUUUAAACUACAUCAAUCUUUCUUUUAUUUUUUAAUAUAUAAUAUAUAUUUAAAUGCUCAAUAUUAUAAAAUUAAAAUUUACAUUUAACACAAACAGUCUAAACUAUUUAAAAAUUAUUUAUAUAUUUUAAAAUUUUAUAAUAAAAAAUUAGAUUGAAUUUUAAAAAGAUAUAAAUUCUUUUGUGCAUAUAUAAAGAAAGCAAAAAAAAAUUUAAGAGAAAAAAAAAACAAAAAAAAAAAAAAAAAAAAAAAAAAAAAAAAAAAAAAAAAAAAAAAAAAAAAAAAAAAAAAAAAAAAAAAAAAAAAAAAAAAAAAAAAAAAAACACUAG